rnacentral:lncRNA from 1 species
CUCCAGUGGACAUGUUUGUGACAACUGCAGACCCCAUGCUGGAACCCCCUAUCAUCACUGUAAACACUGUCCUCUCCUUGCUGGCAGUUGACUAUCCAGCUAACAAGCUUUCUUGCUAUGUGUCCGAUGAUGGGGCUUCCCCUCUCACCUUCUACGCUCUCCUUGAAGCAUCCAAGUUUGCUAAGCUUUGGGUUCCUUUCUGUAAGAAGUAUGGUAUUCAAACUAGAGCUCCCUUUAGAUACUUCUCCAGAGAGUUGUUACCAUCCCAUGAUAAUUCAACGGAGUUCCUACAAGAAUACAGAAAGAUAAUGGUACGCGCACUAUUCUUAGUAGGAACCAUAAGUGGUCCUUAAUUAUUUUAGUUCAACUUAGUGCAAUUAUUUAUUUAUUUAAUAACAAUGAUUAGAAUGCAGAUGAUCCUGAAUCUAGAAUUUUCUUCUCCUUUAAUUUAUUGACUAUCAUUAUUUUUUUUAUUUAUCCUUUUUAUAUAUAAAAUCUCCUUUAAAGAAACAAAAAAAAAAAAAAAAUCCACUAUCAAGCAAGUUCGUGUCCAAUUUUCUUUUUCUUCAUCCCUCUGUAGGACGAAUAUGAAGAGCUUAGACGAAGAAUUGAACACGCAACCCUGAAGUCAAUUUCACAUGAGCUUAGUACUGCAGAUUUUGUCGCUUUCUCAAAUAUAAAAAAGGGAAGCCAUCCAACUAUAAUCAAGGUAUGUUUAAAGAUAUAACUAGCUGAUUUGUUUACUUAUUGUUACCAUUAUUAGGUCUAUUUGGAUUGAUUUCUAAAAAAAAAAAAUUUUAAGUUCAAUAAAAGAUUUUAUUUCUGAUUAAUUUUAUACUUAUGGUUUAAGAAAAAGGUUAAUAUAAAAGUCAUGAAAAUCUUAUUUCUUAUAAAACCUUUAUUUUAGUUUACACAAAAAGUUAUUUUAUGUUUAAUACAAACCUUAUGAUAUCAAUAUUACUUUUUAAAAAUUAUAACUUUAGCUUCAAACUUAUUUUGUAGGUAGAGAUAAAAAGAAACAAACAAUCUCGAAUGGGGAAUGGGUCGCAAUCAAUAUAGAACAAAGGACCAUUUAAAGCUAAUCAUAGGAGAUUAGAAUGAUGGUAUAAAGUAAUUGUUUUUGUCAUUUUCUAUAUUAUAAAAAAUUAAUAAAAAGAUAAAAAGAAACAAACAAUCUCGAACAUAUUGUAAUCGAUAUAGAACAAAGGACCACUUAAAGCUAAUCAUAGGAGAUUAGAAUGAUAGUAUAAAGUUAUUUGUUUUUGUCCUUUUCUAUAUUAUAUAUAAAAAAACUUUCUUUAAUUAAUAAAAAAUAGUCAUGCAAUUUUAAAAAAGUUUUAUUUCUUUGUAUUUUGAUUUAUACUCUAUUUCUUCGUACUUGUACUUUAUUGUAUUUAAAAUAUAUUUCUUUAUAUUUAUGUUCAAUGGUAUGGUUAGAUUAAAAGUUCAAUACGAUACUAAAUUCAACAAGCUUGCCAUGAGCUUUAUUUAAGCUAUAACUAUUCGGUUGCGACAUGAGAGAGCUAGGGAGUUGUGGUGAAGGAAGUAUUUGACAACAUUUCUAUAACCACGGAUGUGACUUUGUAGGUUAUAUUGGAGAACAAGGAGAGCCGCUCUGAUGGACUGCCACAUCUAGUCUAUGUAUCCAGGGAGAAGGAUCCCAAGCAUCCACACCAUUACAAAGCCGGUGCCAUGAAUGUUCUGGUAAGGAAGCUCCCUUGAAUUAAUAUAACUACUGAUCUCCUUCUUUUUCUGAUUGUUUCUUGAUAAACAGACCAGAGUCUCUGGAGCUAUGACAAAUGCUCCUUUCAUGCUGAACGUAGACUGUGAUAUGUACGCCAACAAUCCACAGAUUUUUCAUCAUGCAAUGUGUUUGCUCCUCGGUUCCAAGAAUGAACAGGACUGCGGGUUUGUUCAGUCUCCACAAUGCUUCUAUGAUGGACUAAAGGACGACCCAUUUGGAAAUCAGCUAGUAGUUUUGUAUAAGGUAUGCCAAAUUUCAAUAGCGAAGAGUGAUCUCUUCCAUACUAUAGAGCACACGUAGUAGAAGCCUCUUUUAUUUUAUUUUUUCAUUAAUUGAUAUGUUUGUUGAAUCAGUAUCUGGGAAGUGGGAUAGCAGGGCUUCAAGGACCUACGUACAUUGGAACGGGAUGUUUUCAUAGAAGAAAAGUUAUCUAUGGGUUAUGGCCAGAUGGCAGGAUGGAGAUCAAAGGAAGAAGUGGUAUGCAGUCAAUUUAUUUGUCUUAUGUAUCAUUCUAAUUUUCUUAGGGGGAUCUUAAAAUGUUAUAUGAAACUAAGCAUUACAAUUUUCUACUUCUUGGUAGGAAAAUUAACUGAUGAGAGAAUACAAAAAACAUUCGGAAAUUCAAAGGAAUUCACCAAAACAGCUGCAAGGAUCUUAUCCGGGUUGAGCGGGAUUUCGCAUUGUCCAUAUGAUCUUUUGAAUCGGGUUGAGGCAGCACAAGAAGUUGCAACUUGCAGCUACGAGUAUGGAACUAGCUGGGGUACAAAGGUGAGCUGCAAAUAUUUAGAACAACAAGAAUAGCACGUACCUCAAAUGAAAUCUAAAGUUGCAAUGAUUAGCACUUCCCUGCUACUUGAUUAAUUUAGCUGUAAGUUUACAAGAUUGCUAAAGAUGAUCCCCUCUUGCUUCAUGGCAUAGGCUUUAUAUAGCCUCUCCCUCUGUCACUGCUUCAGGCUUUGGUUCUGCUUUAUGGACUUUAAGACGCAUGGUGAUAAAGAGUCGUUGAGCUCAACUUUUUAGGGGCAGGUUGGUUAGUUAGGUCAACCUACAGGUCCGAGGUGGGUUGUCUUUCUUUUUGGUCCUUGCUUUGGGGUGAGGUGAUUUUGUGCACCUUCAAUAUCCCCCUUCCCCCCUCCCAGCCUUGAGUUUUUCUUUCUUGGAAGAGGUUAGAGCCUUUUCUUUUUGGGUUGUGUGCUAAUGAUGUUUAGGCAGUGCUAGUGCAAUUUUCAAUGGCGGUAUACCCAUUUUGGUUUCCUCCGUUUUGAGGCAGUUUCUUCCACUAAUCUCAUGUUUGAUGGUUGAGAUUUGUCCACGUGCCGCAUCCUUAGCCUUUCCUCAAUUGAGGGUUUUCUCUUUCAAAUCCCACGCUAAUUAUUAUUUCUUCCUUCAAUAGUCGAUAAGUAUUAUAUCUCCCAUUUUCUUUCUUCAUUUAUGGUUUUCUUCUUCUUCUUCUUAUAUAUUUUCCUGUUCCAGCCAUGUUGAAGAAAAAAAAAAGGAUGAAUGCCUCUGGGUCGAUUGAAUAGUUUCAUGCUAAGUUUAAUAUCCAACUGUUAGUGGGACUUUGCUUCAUGGAUGAUGGGGAUGUAAUCCUGGCCAAAGGGAGUCUAGUUGAAGGUGAGAUGUUCUUGCCCAAAAGCUACUUCGAGGCUGGGUUUUGACUUCCACUUCUUCCAUUGUUUAGAAGCUUAGUGUGUCAUCUUCGACUUGCCUCGAACCAACUAUAUAUUAACAUCAUUCGUUCGAUCAUGUCAAUGAUCGUGUUAGAUUACUUAAGGGGUUUGAAUAUUUCAAUGAGGGAUGUUAUGUACGUCUAUACUAUGAAGUAGUCUCACAUUCCUCAUGAAUGGUACUUGUUUGCUUGCUUAGGUGUAACUGGCUUCAUCACCGGGGCACCCUCGACCAAUAAAGACCUGAAUUGUGGUAUUGUUGCCAUUUUGGCUAAAUGAAAGUUUGGACCUUUUGAACCCAAUGACCUUCCUAGGGUUCACAUAACACAUGACAUGUCACAUUAGUUUUUAGUUUUGAGUUUUGCCUUUCCUCUUUUCUUUCUGAGGUGAAUCUUAAUAAUGGACUACACCUAGAGGGGGGUUGAAUAGGUGUUGUUGAACUAUAAAAACAAAAUGUCCCAACAAAGAUUACCUAAUCUUAGAAUUUUUCAAUAUCAAUAAACUUUUCUUCCAACAACUUUUCAAUAAAACAUAAAAUCUACAAAUAAGUAUGUAUGCACCAAUACUCUCCUAAUAAUUUAUGCAAUUAACAUGCAAAUGCUUCAACACUCCUCAAAAUUAAUUCAAAAGAACAAUUACCUUCUUAACUCAUUUCAAUUUACUACAAGAUAUCAUUAACUAAAAUGAACAAAAAAAUUAUUAAAGACAUUUCAUGGAUAAUCACACUUAUUUCAGCUCAGAUAUCUUCCAUUUAACAUAUAUGCCCAAGUAACCAAUGAUAUCAAAAACUGAAAAUAAAUCAAAGAGUGGAAUGAGAGAAAGAGAUAAUUGACACAGAAUUUUAAUGUGGAAAACCUUCGAAGAGAUGAAAAACCACAGGCCUAUAACUGAUAAAAAAACAUCCACUAUAAAGAAUAAAAAUUGAAUACAAGGUUUUACCUAACUCAAACCAACCAAUCCCUUCUCGAAACAUUUAACUAGUAUCUUUUACUUUUAGUUUCUCACAUUCUUCUUUAGAAGCACACUUGGAGUCCACACCAAGCUCGAUCUCAGCCUCUUCUUGAAUUCACAUAAGAAGAAAAUGAGUUUUUACACAAACUCACAAACAAUAAGAGAUGAAUGCUUAAGGAAUCAACCCCUUUUUCUUUUUAGAAAAUCCAUUUAAAAAUUUUCUUGGAAAACUUGGAUGUGACUCAUAAGAAUUUUGUCCAGAAUUGCCAACCUAGCUAAACACUCAUACUUUUCUUCUUUGUAGAUUGUGCCUUGCCUUUACUUUUUCUUGUAGUGAUAGAGGAUACCGAGGUUCUAGAGAUUAGUGAUUCCUAUCGAGCUGAGAUCACUGGUGGUUCAAAAUUGACAUUGUUUUCGUGACUAGAAGGUUUUGUUGAAGCCAACCCAAUUGUAUGCCAAUUUCAUCUCCUUGGGUUUGAUUUCUCUCCAACAUUUCUUUCAUCAAUCCGAACGGGUGACUUCUUUGGAAAAAAAAUUCCUACUUCUCACACCUCCUUUAGUUGUUGAUCGUCUAAAGAGGAAGCAUUAGCAACCUUUGUUGAAACAAUCUUCUUCGGAUGGGAAGUCUCAAAACAUUGGGUCAACCACUAGGGGCCUAUUGGGUCACUGACAAUCCCAAAGGAUAGAGCAAGGCUCAUUCAAGUGUUAGGGUAACCCAUUCUUUUGGGACUUUGAAGAGUAAGACAUCAUUUUCCUCUACUUCGAUCGAUCUCAUUGUAAGUUUUGAAGAUGCAUAAGAUUCGACUAAAUCUAAAGCUCUAAGAAUGAUAGGUGGAGCAAUGGAGAAGGACACUUUAGAUGUCAGGGACAUAAGGAAGGUUUUGGCCAUGUCGUCCUCUAUUGUAGUAUAUGACUCAUAUUGAGUGAAAAACAUAUAUGGAGAAAAAAAAAGAGAAGGGCAAAUGCUGGAGUGGAACGGAGUGUACACUUCAAGGGUAUUUUUAGAAUUUCAAUACCUGAGAGUUAGUAUAAAUACCCUUUUACGUAACCUUAAUUUUGAUACAGUGAAAGUCUUCUUCCCUAUUCUUGUGGACAUAGGCAUUCUUCCAAACCACGUUAAAAUCAGUGUAUUUUAUUUUGUUUUCUCAAAUCUCUUCAUUAGGAACCCUUCAUAACCUAAGUUCUAAAGGGGGAAAAGAUUCUGAUUUCGAGAUGCUUUCUGUUGGUAGGGAUUUACUUUCGGUGGUUGAGGUAGCUAAGUGGUCAACUCUUCCUAGUGAUGCCAAAUUUAUUUCGGGUUUUUCUAAUCGUGAGGUGGUUGAUAAAUCAAUUAGGCUGACCUAUUGGGUGCAAAUUGAAGUUUUCUUUUCCUUUUCCCUAUGUUUUUAUGUUCCGUGUGAGUCAUUGAGUUGGCUUAUAGUUUAUGUUUUAUGUGUUUUCCUCAUCCAUGUAGGCCUUAUAGUUCAACUUGGUUAUUUGUCAGCGUCUUACUUCGUCUCGACUCAACUAGGUCGGGUUGAGGGACCAAGUGAGAGUAUGUCCUCCCAAGUGGAGGUCAUCUCAAAAGAGCUGGUCAUGUUAAAUCCAAGUUGAAGGUUGAGUGGAAUAUUAUGACCAAUUUCCAGCAAAAGAUUGUGCCUCUUAGGGUUUGUUUUAGGGACUUGGAGUCUCACUUGAAGUCACUUUCUAAAGAAAAAAAUGACUUGAGCAAUCUUUUGGAGGAGAUUAGAUGAGCCAGGGUGAUGUGCGAAUUGGACCUAUUCCACUUGCAAGAAAACUGAGACAAAGAGAGAUAAAAAUUUUGUGACAAAGUUUACAUGCAACUUACUAGUGACUUGUUGGCCCAUGAUAAGCAGAACCAAAAUGAGGAGGACGUUUUUGGUUGGAGUAUUUGAAGCUUGGAAUUUAGUAUUUUGACCCUCUUGAGUUUGAUUUUGGUAGUAAAUCUAAUGGGUCUUCCAACCAAUUCCUUAUGGAUGAUCAUUUUCUAGGUACGAAUGGUGGUCUUACUACAUUGGAUUUAGAGGUGAACUUUUUUUUGUUUUUUGAAAUCUUAUUGACUGUAAGGAUUUUGGUGUUUCAAGGAGCUUAGGUUGGUUGGUGGACAUCACAAUGAGCCAAGAAAAAAGCAAGGUAGUUGCAAAGAGCUUGGGUGUUGUUCAUGAGGUAGUUAUUGAGGCUUUUAGAUCGAAGGAAGAUGAGACAAUGAAGAAUGCUACUCUUUCUGUUCCCUUAGUCACUAACUUUUCUCAAAUCAAGGGUGAUACCUUGGAGAUUGACAUUAAUACUUUUUCAAAGGAGUCUGGGUUUUUGUUGGAGAAAGAUUCUUUUAGACUUGAAAUUGCUUUACUGUUGGAAACCUGACAACACUUUGUUCUAGCCCUUUUUUUCCCAUUUGUUUUUGUUUUGGAAAUGUUUGCCCUAUUUCAAACUAUAUGAGAUAUUUCUUUUGUAGUGAACGAUAUGCUAAGAAUGAAAUUUUCUUUUGGCAAUUAUAUGUGUUGUGUAAGUUUGGGAAAUAGAUGAGUUUGUGUUGUAGGUAGAAUGCCCUCACCUUUUACCAAGAGGUAGGGUUGAACUAUGGUAUGGUCCUAUUAGGGGUAGGUACAAUCAACAUGGGUUGGAAAAUACAGUCGAAGCUCUAUAUAAUGACCAUUUAAGCAUUUUUAUUUUUAUUUUUGGCUAAUUUAUGGUGUUGCGGCAUAUAUGCUUGCUUGUAUUUAAGCUUUUUUGGAGGUUGCUUACCCAAUUUUUCCCAUUCUUACAUUGCACAAUUAAGUUAAAGCGAACCAAAUUGAUUUAAUACAUAAUACAAUUAUGCAUAGUACUUUUUAAGGUGUAUCUAGUUCCAAGGUUUAGGUAGGGGUGCCCCAUCUGGUUGUACUAGCCAACAUGUUUCAGUUCAAGACAUUUUGAUAACCUGAAGGCACCUUCCUAAGUUGGCACAAACUUGCCUUCAUCCGCAUGUCUAUUUGGAUUAUGUAUAGCUUAGAGUACCAGAUAUUCCCAUUUAUAUGGGUUGAUGUUGGACUUUUUGGUUGUAUGCUCUUAACAGUUGUUGUUGGUAUAAGCAACUAUUUGAAUGACCACCUUCUCAUGCCUUUCCUCCAAGAAGGGGUGGUUUCGAUUAGAGUCCUUUGGUUGUCUUUCCCUUCAUAAUAUUGUACACAAAGGGUUGACAUUCCUAUAUUAAUUGGUACUAACCUCCACUUCGUAUGAGUUUUCUUAGUUGUCAUGAUGUGAGGUGUGGCCCGGUAUGCCCAUAGGAUUACCGGUAGCUCUUCAACCCAUUUGGCUUUAGAUAUUUCCAAACAUUUUUUGAGUGCUGCAAGUAUUGUUAUGUUACUAAUUUCUACAUGUCCAUUACCUUAGGGUAAGCUAGAGUUGAUAAAUGAUGUUGGAUACCCAAUUCUUGGCAUAAAUCCUUAAACUCUAAGGAUUUAAACUACAUUCUAUUAUUGAUAGUGAUCUCUUGUGGAAUGCUGAACCAACAAAUGAUGUUCUUCCAGAGGAAAGUGUGGAUGUUCUUCUCUCUUAUUUGAGAUAAUGGUUCUGCUUCAAUCCAUUUUAUGAAAUUGUUAGUGGCAACUAGGAGGUAGUGUUGUUGAGCUGUUGAUAUAGGUAAUGACCCAAUCAAGUCUAACCCUUAAUGAACAAAAAGCCAAGUUGUAAUAGUCGGGUAAUAUUUCUAUGGUGGUAGGUGUUGUUGAAGGGCAUACCUUUGACACCUCUCACAAGCCUAGACAAAUUGCAUAGCAUAUUUUUGCACGUAAGGCUAAUAGUAUCCUAGACUAAGGGCUUGGUGCAUCAACAUUCUUUUGCCAUAGUGAUUUCCAUAUUGCCCUUGAUGUAUUUUUGCUAGGAAAUACUAGGAUUCAAGGUGUGAUAAACAUUAGAGGUAGGGACCUUGUGUGGAAUGUAAAUAUAACUAUUUAUCAAUGAUUGUAUAUUGCAAGGCCUAAACUUAGAGUUUAUGUGCAUUUUUUUUUUAUCCUUUGACAACGUUUCAUUUUUAAGAUAUUUUAGGAAUGGUGUCCUCCAGUCUUCUUCAUUGAUAGAGUUACUGCAGUUUACACUCAAUUCGCAUCUGUAUAUGCUUGGUUGCUUUUGAUAUUCCAAGCUAACACUUUGUUGCUUGUCCACCCUAAGAUGUAUUGCUAGGUUAGCCAAUAGGUCAGCGAUCACAUUUUUCUCCCGCGGAAUUUGUUCAAUAUUGAAUUUGUUGAAGGUUUGUUUGAUUUCAUUGACUCUAGACAGAUAGGCUCCCAUUCGAUCAUCUUUGGCCUCAUAUUGAGAUAGGACCUGACAUACCAUAAGUUUGGAGUUCCGAGUAUACUUGAAUUUUUUGGGCUCCUAAAAGUCGAGAUACUUCUAAUCCACGAAGUAAGGCUUCAUAGUUUGAUUCAUUUUUGGAUGCUUCGAAUCCAAGUACAAUGCUUUUGUCUAUACUUACGAAUGGGGUUUCCAUGUGGAUUCCAAUCCUUACACCAUGUUGGUUUGAAGCCCGAUCUACAUAGAGAACGUAAACCUCUUAUGGCCUUGGUUUGUCUCUGGUUUAACUUCUUUUGUGAACUCAACCACAAAGUCUACUAACACUUGCUCUUUUAAUUGUAGUAUGUGGUUUAUAGCUCAUGUUAUACUCACUUGACUCCACAAAUCAUUGUAGCAUCUUUCCAAAUGGGUUAAGUUUGCUGAGGACGUUUCUGAUUGGUAAGAAGUUAAUACGAUGAUGGUAUGCACUUGAAAGCAUGAUUGAAGCUUUUGAGUAGCAACCAAUAAGGCCAGGGUUAACUAUUCCAAUUGGGUAUAACUGAUCUUAGUGUUCAACAAUGCUUGAAAGUAUGAUCGAAGCUUUCGAGUAGCAAUCAAUAAGGCCAGGGUUAACUAUUCCAAUUGGGUAUAACUGAGCUCAGUAUUCAACAAUGCUUUGCUUACAUAGUAGAUUGGUCUUUUUUUACUUUUUUGGUUUUGAAACAAGAUAACACUUACAACCUGCCUUGAGAUUUUUAGGUAGAUGUAUAAUUUCUCAUGAGGUUGGGGUAUUGAGAGGAUUGACGGGUGUGAUAGGUGCUUUUUUAGUAGUUUGAAGGCUUCAGUGCAUUUCAUGUCCUACCGUAAUUUUUUUUUUUUUAGCAAAACAAAAAUGGGUUUACACUUGUCAGUUAAUUAGGAUAUGAAAUGAGAUAAGGCUACUAUUUUUUCGGCUUCUUGUACCUCCUUUUGUGUAGUUGGGAUCUUCAUGUUGUGUAUCGCAUGGAUUUGGUCUAGGUUUGCCUUAAUGCCCUGCCUUGUUUCCAAAUGCCCUAAAUAUUUUCCACUGGUAACUUCAAAGAUGCAUUUAAUUGGAUUAAGCCAUAUCUCAUGCUUGAAUAUAGCGGCCAAUACUUCGGCUAGGUGUUGGGGAUGAUCAUUGGCUCUUUUACUUUUUACCAUCAAGUCGUCCAUGUAGACCUUGACCUCCCUUCCUAUUUGUUACUAGAAUACUCACACCAUUUUACGUUGAAAGGCAUUACCUUGUAACAAUAUGUUCCUUGCUCCAUAAUGAAGACAGUUUUUUCCACGUUGUUAAGGUGCAUGGGAAUUUGGUUGCAUCCAUUGUAUGAAUCUAAGAAGGUCAAUACCUUGUGCCCAACGACGAAAUCCACUAGCUUAUCUAUACAAGGUAGUGAGUAAAUGUCUUUUGGACAAGCCUUGUUGAGGUUAGUGUAAUCUACACACAUCACCCAUUUCUUGUUCUUCUUUGGUACGAUCACAACAUUGCCCAGCUAGGUUGGGUAUUUGACCUCUCGUAUGAAUUUGAUGGCAAGUAGUUUUUUUAACUUUUUUCAUAUGAUUUGAUUUUUAAAUGGUGCAAAACAACUUUGUUUUUGCUAUAUCGGUGGGAAAUGGGGUUCGACAUUGAGUUAGUGACUAUAGACUUGUGGAUUUACCCUUAGCAUAUCCUGUGGUUGCCAAGAAAACACGUGCACAUAGGCUCGUAAACACUCUUCUAGGCUUUCUUGCAAAACAUUAUCUAUUACUUUUCAUUGUUGCUUUGCUUUCAUAUCACGAUUUCCCAAGUGGGCUUUGCUACCUUCUACCGCUUUUGAUCUUCUUUUGGCUUGGCCGGGGAGGAGGAAUUUCUUUAAUUGCUAUUUGUCAGGAGUUACGAAGGGUAGUGGUCUUACAGUUGUAAGUAUUGCAUACAUUAUAGCUAGAUGGAAAUGCCAAGCAGUGAGCUGGUUUCCUAAUACUUUCUGUAUUCCCUUUGGAGUUUGCAUCUUAAUCUUUUGAUGCUAGGUCAAGGUCACUGCAUGGGUGGCAUGUAUCCAAGGUCGACCCAGAAUGGUGUUGUACAAGGAAGUAGAUAUUUCGAUUUGGAAGUGGGUUGGGGUUUUUGGUUGAUUUGAUCACCACCUCCAAGGUUAGUUAUCCUAUGCUUGGGUGGUUUUUCUAUUGAACCCAACCAAAAUGGUCUAACUUGGUUCCACUUUUUGAUGCUCUUGGUCCAUUAAUUGGGAACAACCAUAGAAAAAGAUGUGGAACUCCUAGUGUCAACUAGAAUCCUUUGGACUUGGUAUGACCUAAUCUGUAGGGUGACUACCAAUGGGUCACUGAUUACUACUCAAAAAGUGCUAUUUGAUAGCCUUUAAUUAAUCUUUUUUAACACUUUUGAGUAGUAGUUUAGGCCUUUUAACUCAAUUGGCAUGUUAAGGAUCCUUUAAAGCAAUUUUGAUCACUUUGUGUAAGUUUUGGUGUUUUUGUUAGUAUUUUGAUCACCAAAGCAAGUCAAGAAUGAGGAGAGCUAUGAGGAAUCAUGGGCAAAGCUUAGAAUUCAAUUGCCAAGAGUGAAUCCGGAUUGCAAGGAGAAAAAGCAAAGAGGAUCAGUCAUGGAGCAUAUUCUUGAUGACAGUCGUAGCAGCCACUUUUGGAGCACUUUCUGAAGUCCAAAUGAUGCAAGCUAUAUACCAUUUCAAAGCUCAGGAAGUCAACAAUCCAAUGCUUCAAACGGUGUGCAAUUUGGAGUUGAAACGAAGAAGUUGCAGCCAUUACAAGCCAGUCACUCUAAAGUGUUGCGGAAUCAGCCUUUUGUUGCGAGAAUUUCGCAACACUUUUGUAUAGUAAGGUGUUUCUCCUUCUGACGAUGCACGAACCAUGCCGCGAGAAGGGAGCUGGAAACUUCAAGAUGGAAGCCAACUUUGCAGCCUGGUGAAGAUAGCUCGGUGUUGCGGAAUAAUUUCGCAGCCCUCUUGGGUGUCUGCGAAAUUUCGCAGACACCACUUUUCUCCUGCGAAAUGGCUCCGGAAGCCUCCCGAAGCUUGCUACCGACAUUGGGAGAUAUUUUCCAUUAGAUUUUUGUUGUCUAAAUUCCAAAAUACUCCUUGUAAACCACCAAUUACAUGAUUCCUUAGUUUUUAAGUUAGUAAAAAGACCAAAUAUCUUUGUAACAAUUAGUUUUAUAUUGCUUUGAUAUAAAUACCUCUCGGGAGCCUGUUCUCAAGGAGGAGUUCCUUCUGUAACCAUUUGGUAAGGAAGUAAAAGUUUUUUUUCUUUCUACUACCUUACCUUCUCACUUUGUAUUUUCAUUUUAUUUCUAAGUUAUGAAUUCUCUGAGGAGUUUUCCCCAGAGAAUGAGUAACUAAACCUCCAAUUCCUUGGAGCUAAGGUUGCCGGGGAAGGUUCCAAGUGCAAAAAUGCAAAACUCUGUGGUUUUAGCUAGUAAUGAAGAGGAAGUGAAAUCCUUUAGUGAUUUCAAUGUUUUUAGUUAACUUAAAACACCUUAGAGUCACCUGGGCCAACACUUGGUAAGGCAAGUGAUUUCCAACCAUGGAAAUGCACUAGUUUACCCCUUGCGAGCCUCUGGUAGGUGACUUCAAGGUAGGAUUUUCUGGAAUUACCAACACUUGGUAAGCUUUUGGACUCCUAGGAGACAUCCAUUAGUUAUCUCUUGCGAGUUUGUGAAGGGAAGUCCAAGGUUAAAGAUCACCUUGAAUGGUAAGUGCUCGUGAGAGGCAUGAACCAUUGCAAGUUGUAUCAGUGAGAGAAUUAAAGUGAAAUCUAAUUGAAGGAGUCUCUGUACAUCACCGAUUAGAGAAUUGACUUUAAGUUGAAUCUCUAAUGCGAGGAAAUGAACCAUCUGACCGGAGCUAUGUCUUUUGCAUGAGGAACCACCCCAGUGAACCUAAAUCUCCAAGGAAUGCUUUUUCUUCCUAAAUUAUUCCAAACUUCUGUUAAGUUAGUUAGUUUAAGUCUAAACCUUUACCAAUCAAACUUUGUGUUUUACUUCUUAAGCUAACCGUGAAAUGAAACAAGACCAAUUCACUUGGAAUUGGUAUCCUUGAUUGCUUGCAAAUCAUUCCCAGUGAACGAUCCUUAGAGCCACUAUACUAUAGUAGCUUUGUAUUUGCUACCCUAGUGUAUGGUGUUAUAGGUAUAAAUUUUGUUGAUCACUUCCUCAAUCAAGGAGCACCAGCUGAACACAAAUCAGCUGAGACACCAAUUGGGCAUGAGUCAAAUGGCGCCGCUGCCGGGGAAUGAGUGUCAAGUUCAUUGUGAUACCAUUUUUGAGCACUUGUGAUUUUCAUCACAAGUUGGUAAAGUUUCUUUCACUUUACUAAUUUUCAUUCUCUCUUUGUUUAUUUACAAUCUAAGUUUAUCUUUUUAAAAUUUAGUCUAGUUUAAUUUUGCUAUUGUAGUCCUCUGUUCUUGUUGUCCUCUGUUUUCAUUUUUUAGUUGCAGCUAAAUACUAGUUGUGUAUGCCAAAGUGGAUACAAGACAUUGGAGGUAGGCUUGUUAAGUGUGAUACACCUCAGAAAGGAGAAUUUGAAGUAAUCUUGAAUAUCAUGGAGGCUGCACCUGAAGAUCAGCAUAGUCACCAAGGUCGUCAAGACAAUCUCAAUGAAUUCAGAUCAAUGAGGGACCGUAUGCAUCCACCUCGUAUGAGUGCACCAUCAUGUAUAGUGCCCCCUACAGAGCAGCUAGUGAUCAGACCAUAUCUUGUUCCACUUCUACCAACUUUCCAUGGGAUGGAAAGUGAGAAUCCGUAUGCACACAUCAAGGAAUUUGAAGAUGUUUGUAAUACAUUCCAAGAGGGAGGAGCUUCAAUUGACUUGAUGAGGCUUAAGUUAUUUCCUUUUACUUUAAAGGAUAAGGCCAAAAUUUGGCUUAAUUCUUUAAGGCCAAGGAGUAUCCGCUCUUGGACUGAUUUACAAGCUGAAUUCCUCAAGAAAUUUUUUCCUACUCAUAGAACAAAUGGCUUGAAAAGGCAAAUUUCAAACUUCUCAGCUAAAGAGAAUGAGAAAUUCUAUGAGUGUUGGGAAAGAUACAUGGAAGCUAUAAAUGCUUGUCCUCACCAUGGCUUUGAUACUUGGCUAUUGGUGAGCUAUUUUUAUGAUGGUAUGUCCUCCUCAAUGAAGCAACUCCUUGAGACAAUGUGUGGAGGAGAUUUCAUGAGCAAAAAUCCAGAGGAAGCUAUGGAUUUUUUGAACUAUGUAGCUGAUGUUUCAAGGGGAUGGGAUGAACCAACUAAAGGAGAAGUGGGAAAGAUGAAGUCUCAGUUGAAUGCUUACAAUGCAAAAGCUGGGAUGUAUAAUUUAAAAGAAGAUGAUGACAUGAAAGCAAAGUUGGCAGCUAUGACAAGAAGAUUGGAGGAGCUGGAGCUGAAAAGAAUGCAUGAAGUGCAAGCUGUUGCUGAAGCACCAGUGCAAGUGAAGCUGUGUCCCAAUUGUCAAUCGUUUGAACAUUUGGUGGAGAAGUGCCCUGCAAUUUCAGUUGAAAGGGAAAUGUAUAGAGAUCAAGCAAAUGUUGUUGGACAAUUCAGGCCCAAUAACAAUGCUCCUUAUGGAAAUACCUACAAUUCAAGUUGGAGGAAUCAUCCAAAUUUCUCAUGGAAGGCCAGAGCAACUCAAUACCAACAGCCGGAUCCACCAUCUCAGCAAUCUUCAAGUAUUGAACAAAUAAUAGCUAAUCUCAGCAAGGUAGUGGCAGAUUUAGUGGGAAAGCAAGAAGCCACCAAUGCUCGAGUGGAUCAAAGAAUGGACAGAGUGGAUCAAAGAAUGGACAGAAUGGAGAGUAUGUUGAACAAAAGAAUGGAUGGAAUGCAAAAUGAUAUGAAUCAAAAAUUUGAUAACAUCCAAUAUUCAAUUUCAAGGCUUACAAAUUUGAAUACACUGCAAGAAAAAGGAAGAUUUCCUUCUCAACCUAACCAAAAUCCCAAAGGUGUCCAUGAAGUGGAAAGCCUUGAGGGAGAAUCAUCACAGGUGAAAGAUGUGAAAGCUUUGAUCACUCUAAGGAGUGGUAAAAAAAUUGAGCAGCCAACACCCAAGCCACAUGUUGAGAAAGAAGAAGAGAUAAAGAAAGGGAAGGAAAUGGAAGAUAAAGGCAGUGAGAUCAGUGAAGAAAAGAAGGUCUCUGAUGCAACAAUGAAAGCAAUUCCAGAGAAAGAGCUUCUGAAGGAAGAAAUGCUGAAGAAAUCAACUUUUCCACCUUUUCCUCAAGCAUUACAGGGGAAAAAGGGGGUUAGAAAUGCAGCUGAAAUCCUAGAAGUAUUGAGGCAAGUGAAAGUUAAUAUUCCACUGCUGGAUAUGAUCAAACAAGUUCCAACGUAUGCAAAAUUCCUAAAGGACUUGUGUACUAUCAAGAGAGGGUUGACUGUAAACAAGAAAGCCUUCUUGACUGAGCAAGUAAGUGCAAUCUUACAGUGUAAGUCUCCUUUGAAGUACAAAGACCCUGGAAGUCCUACCAUUUCAGUCAUGAUUGGAGGAAAGGUAGUGGAGAAAGCCUUGCUAGACUUGGGAGCAAGUGUGAAUUUGCUUCCAUACUCUGUCUACAAGCAACUGGGACUUGGAGAGUUGAAGCCAACAUCAAUCACUUUAUCUUUGGCAGAUAGAUCAGUGAAAAUUCCAAGAGGAAUAAUUGAGGAUGUAUUGGUUCAAGUAGAUAAUUUCUACUAUCCUGUAGAUUUUGUUGUUCUUGAUACUGAUCCUACUGUAAAGGAAGCUAAUUUAGUUCCUAUCAUCCUUGGAAGGCCAUUUCUUGCUACUUCAAAUGCAAUCAUCAACUGUAGAAAUGGGCUUAUGCAACUCACUUUUGGUAAUAUGACACUGGAUCUAAAUAUUUUCUACAUGUCUAAAAAGCAAAUCACUCCUGAGGAAGAAGAAGGUCCAGAAGAGCUAUGUAUUAUUGAUACUUUGGUGGAGGAGCACUGCAAUCAGCAUAUGCAAGACAAGUUGAAUGAAAGUUUUGUGGAUAUUGAGGAAGGUUUUUCUGAAUCUCCUAUUGGGCUUGCUACUCUACAAAGUUGGAGAAAGAUAGAAGGAAUUCUACCUUUGUUCAAUGAGGAAGAGGAGGCAGCUGUUGAAAAAGAAAUUCCAAAACUCAAUCUGAAGCCUUUACCUGUGGAGCUGAAAUAUACAUAUCUUGAAGAAAAUAAUCAAUGUCCUGUCGUAAUAUCUUCAUCUCAAACCAAGUCUCAAGUGAAGGAUGCAAGCUUCAAAUGGGAUCCAGGCAAACUAAAUCAGGAAGGGCAAAAAGUUUUGAUGUAUGACACAAGACUCCAUAUCUUUCCUGGGAAGCUCAAGUCAAGGUGGAUUGGUCCAUUUGUUAUUCACCGAGUAUAUUCCAAUGGAGUGGUGGACUUAUUGAAUUCCAAUGGCAAGGACAGCUUUAGAGUCAAUGGAUAUCGUCUUAAGCCGUUCAUGGAGUCAUUCAAAUCAGAAAAGGAGGCAAUCAACCUCCUUGAACCUCAAAAAGCCUAAGUGAAAUGGGUUUGCUGGGCGUGGUUUUACCACAGUCCAAAAUUUUUGUAAAUUUUGUAAAUUUUCAAGUUGUUUCUAUGCUUUUGAUCUUAGUUUUUGAUCUUAAAUUAUGUUUUUAGGUGUGUUUUAAUCGUUUUAUAUGAUCCCAGGUGGAAGAAAUUUCAAGGGGAUUGAAAAAAAAAAAAUCGGGCCGAAAUUGGAGCCGAAACAGAGCAAAAACAGGGGAAAAAACAGAGCUCUGCGAAAUUUCGCAGGGUGAAGGAAACCUCUGCGAAAUGUGAUUUUUGUUGCCAAACCACUCCGCAGCACUGUAGAAGCCUCUGCGAGUGUAUUUCGCAAUUGCGAAAGUGGAUUUGGCACACGAGUGCCACUUCGCAGAACAGUAGCAUCAAUUUGGCAGCUGCGAAACGCGUUGCGAAAUGAAAAAGCGUGAUUUCGCACCAAAAGUCCUAUUCCGCAGAGUAUUUCGCAAUUGCGAAAGUGGUUUUGGCACACGAGUGCCACUUCGCAGCACAGUGACAUCAAUUUCGCAGCUGCGAAACUCACUGCGAAGUUGCUGCGAAAAUGGCAAGUUGCUGCGAAAUUGGCGUUUUGUUGCGGAACUUAAACUGACCCCUGGGCUUCCGUUUUUCCUAUUUAUACCGGUCAAAAAUGCUGCGAAAAGGGUUUCAAAAAUCAGAGAGCCAUUCUCGCAGCCCCUUCAUCUUCUUCGCCAAGCCACGCCGUCCGAACCUCCGGUCGUCUUCUCCGUUUAGCAGCGCCGGCCAAAGAUCGAUAUCUCCAAAAUGGCACGAACGCGAGGAGCAAAAUCUUCAUCUCCUUCGAACCGCAAAAGGAGUCUGCGAAAGGAGCCAAGCCCAGGUUCUGUUCCAGAACCUACUCCAAAGCCUUCGCCGUCGAGACCAAACCCUCCUCCAGUGAAGCCGGCGCCACCAAAGCCACCGGCAAGGCGAUAUUUAACCAGGUCAGGUGGUCAGCCAUUGAAGAAGAAAACCAGGGUUGAGAGCUCUGAACCAAUUGAUUUGACUGAGCAAUCCCCUGAGAAAUCACCAAAUCCUUCACCGGUACAAAUUCCAGUGCCGUCACCGGUUCCCUCGCCAAUUCCCUCACCAGAAGCAACUCCAAUUCCAUCGCCGGUACUAUCUCCGGCACCCCAAGAAAAAGCUCAGGAGCCUCAAGCGCCAAUUCCAGAGCCCCAAAUUGCAGCUGAAGCACCUCUGGAAGAAGUGAUCCGAAGGCCAAUGCUGCCUCAGCCCCCAAUCGAAGGAAACUUGGAUUGUCGAACUCGGGCAUUCCAUUCUGAAUUGUGCUUCGACUUAGCAGCAUUCAGAGUGAGGCCAGAGCUUGCCCAAUCCUUCCAACUGCUGAGGAGAUAUCAUAUGGAGCAUCUGUUAGCUCCAAGGGAUUUUUUCUAUCCUCGGGUAGUCACUGAUUUCUACCAGAGCCACACUCUCAGCCUUCAGAGUCUCAAGCUCCAGAGCCCGAAGCCCCAGCUGAUCCACCUACUGAGGAAGCAGAUCCUUCUGCUUAGCACCAUCACCCCACUCAUCAGACAUUAUAUAUAUUUGCUAUUUAUGUUUUUAUGCAUGCUUGUUUGUUUUUUUUUUUUUAGUUGAAAUGAAAUCCCAGUAUUUUGGUACUAUAUAUGGGAUUCCUUGUGUUACUUGUCUUUAGUAUUGUAAUCAAAUGAACUCAAAGUAAUACAAGUUGACUAUUUCUUGUUAAAAGUUAACAUUAAGUUAUUAUUAUUUCCUUUUCUCACAUAUUCUAUUCUUUUUGAAACAUGUGGUUUUCCCCAAUCAAUAUUCGAAUUUGAUAUCAGCAAGGAGAUACCACUUCCUCCCUUUGAUUACAGUCACUCAAAUCACAUUGAGGACAAUGCUCAGUUCGGUUGGGGGGUAUGAGGAAGGAAGUAUGCUAAAUCUUUUUGGUAUUGCAAUUAUUGGUUAAUUAGUUGUAGUUUUUACUUUUUACUCUUGUUACUCUAUUCUCCAUGAAUUUCGAGGAAAAAUUUUCAAAUUAAACCAAGAGAAAUUGAACUGUUGUUUUUCACUUGACUUAGAGUAUGGAUUAUGCUUACUAAAGUGGUUCAAUUGUUGAAACUUCUACUGAAAUUGAAUUGAGUUCUUCUACUUUAAGCUAUCCACACACUGUGCACAUUAGUUUCCGAUUAUAAGAUGAAAAACUAUUUCCCUCUUGACUUAAAAUAAUUUUGAGACUUGGUAUAUUUGACCUCAUUUGAUAAAAAUUGAAACACCCUGCAAAAGGCCAAUGAGCCUUUGAAAUAAAGAAAUUUGUUUGCUUGCCUUGAAACCCGAGCAAGGUCUGAGGGGUAUAUGGUGAAAAUCUUUAAAGCCUGGUGCCCUAAGCCUUAAUUGGUUGGGAGUCACCGACCUCAAUGCUCGUUACAAGGGUGAAUAGGUAGAGUUAGCAUAUGGUAGAUGCUUGGGUAUUAGAAAUUCAUUCUUAAAAGUCCGGGGAAAAAUCCGAGGAGUUAGUGGUUGAAAGAUCCUUAAAACUUGGUGCCCUAAACCUUAAUUGGUUGGGAGUCAUCGAUGGACCCCCAUUACAUGGACAAGUCAGAAAGAGUACCCCAUAAAGCUACCUUGAAAAAAAAAAAAAAAAAAAAAAAAAAAAAAAAAGAAAGAUGAAAGUGUGUUCUUUUCUUAUUGAUUUUGGUCAGUUUGCUAAAGUGUUGAAAAGAGAUAGGUUGGGGGGUGAGAUUAGCAUAUUAUUCUCGGAACCUAAGGAACCAAUACACAUAGAUUUUUGUGGAAGAUUGAAGUUUAGUUCUUAGAAAGUGAAAUGAUUUUAAAACUUCAGUUUGCAUAAUGCACUCCCUUGAUUGACAGUGUUUAGCAUAAGUGUUAUGACUCUUGUUGAGGUUUGGGUUUGUAUUUCUUUAAUGAUUCAUGUGAGAAAUAGAUCAUCAUGCCACUUGAGAAUUAUUUUCCUUUAGCAUGAUGUUGUAAAUUUUAGUAUAAUUAGCUAUUUAUUUUCAUUUUUCUCUCCUAUAUUGCUAAGGGACUAGCAAUAUGUCGGUUGGGGGGAGUGAUUACUACUCAAAAAGUGCUAUUUGAUAGCCUUUAAUUAAUCUUUUUUAACACUUUUGAGUAGUAGUUUAGGCCUUUUAACUCAAUUGGCAUGUUAAGGAUCCUUUAAAGCAAUUUUGAUCACUUUGUGUAAGUUUUGGUGUUUUUGUUAGUAUUUUGAUCACCAAAGCAAGUCAAGAAUGAGGAGAGCUAUGAGGAAUCAUGGGCAAAGCUUAGAAUUCAAUUGCCAAGAGUGAAUCCGGAUUGCAAGGAGAAAAAGCAAAGAGGAUCAGUCAUGGAGCAUAUUCUUGAUGACAGUCGUAGCAGCCACUUUUGGAGCACUUUCUGAAGUCCAAAUGAUGCAAGCUAUAUACCAUUUCAAAGCUCAGGAAGUCAACAAUCCAAUGCUUCAAACGGUGUGCAAUUUGGAGUUGAAACGAAGAAGUUGCAGCCAUUACAAGCCAGUCACUCUAAAGUGUUGCGGAAUCAGCCUUUUGUUGCGAGAAUUUCGCAACACUUUUGUAUAGUAAGGUGUUUCUCCUUCUGACGAUGCACGAACCAUGCCGCGAGAAGGGAGCUGGAAACUUCAAGAUGGAAGCCAACUUUGCAGCCUGGUGAAGAUAGCUCGGUGUUGCGGAAUAAUUUCGCAGCCCUCUUGGGUGUCUGCGAAAUUUCGCAGACACCACUUUUCUCCUGCGAAAUGGCUCCGGAAGCCUCCCGAAGCUUGCUACCGACAUUGGGAGAUAUUUUCCAUUAGAUUUUUGUUGUCUAAAUUCCAAAAUACUCCUUGUAAACCACCAAUUACAUGAUUCCUUAGUUUUUAAGUUAGUAAAAAGACCAAAUAUCUUUGUAACAAUUAGUUUUAUAUUGCUUUGAUAUAAAUACCUCUCGGGAGCCUGUUCUCAAGGAGGAGUUCCUUCUGUAACCAUUUGGUAAGGAAGUAAAAGUUUUUUUUCUUUCUACUACCUUACCUUCUCACUUUGUAUUUUCAUUUUAUUUCUAAGUUAUGAAUUCUCUGAGGAGUUUUCCCCAGAGAAUGAGUAACUAAACCUCCAAUUCCUUGGAGCUAAGGUUGCCGGGGAAGGUUCCAAGUGCAAAAAUGCAAAACUCUGUGGUUUUAGCUAGUAAUGAAGAGGAAGUGAAAUCCUUUAGUGAUUUCAAUGUUUUUAGUUAACUUAAAACACCUUAGAGUCACCUGGGCCAACACUUGGUAAGGCAAGUGAUUUCCAACCAUGGAAAUGCACUAGUUUACCCCUUGCGAGCCUCUGGUAGGUGACUUCAAGGUAGGAUUUUCUGGAAUUACCAACACUUGGUAAGCUUUUGGACUCCUAGGAGACAUCCAUUAGUUAUCUCUUGCGAGUUUGUGAAGGGAAGUCCAAGGUUAAAGAUCACCUUGAAUGGUAAGUGCUCGUGAGAGGCAUGAACCAUUGCAAGUUGUAUCAGUGAGAGAAUUAAAGUGAAAUCUAAUUGAAGGAGUCUCUGUACAUCACCGAUUAGAGAAUUGACUUUAAGUUGAAUCUCUAAUGCGAGGAAAUGAACCAUCUGACCGGAGCUAUGUCUUUUGCAUGAGGAACCACCCCAGUGAACCUAAAUCUCCAAGGAAUGCUUUUUCUUCCUAAAUUAUUCCAAACUUCUGUUAAGUUAGUUAGUUUAAGUCUAAACCUUUACCAAUCAAACUUUGUGUUUUACUUCUUAAGCUAACCGUGAAAUGAAACAAGACCAAUUCACUUGGAAUUGGUAUCCUUGAUUGCUUGCAAAUCAUUCCCAGUGAACGAUCCUUAGAGCCACUAUACUAUAGUAGCUUUGUAUUUGCUACCCUAGUGUAUGGUGUUAUAGGUAUAAAUUUUGUUGAUCACUUCCUCAAUCAAGGAGCACCAGCUGAACACAAAUCAGCUGAGACACCAAUUGGGCAUGAGUCAGUCACUGUGGGGGAGAGACACAUGUCUAAGGUUUUGUGCAAUGAAUUCUAUCAUUGGAUCCCAUAUCCUGUUGAACUCUAUAAUACUCGAGCACAUUAAUGUGGUAGGUUGAAUAUGGUGUUGUUGUUGGACGACUCUUUGGCCAACAUGCAUAACAAAUCGAUUUUGGGUCUUGUUAUUGUAGGUGUCGAUAAUAUGUAUAGCUAGUCCCAGGUUGUCAUCUAUUUUGAGGGAUGGUAGUUCAUCUUGUUCCUUUGCCUCAACCGAGGUUGGUCGUCGUGGUGCAUAUUUCUUUACGUAUUGUUGUAAUCCUUUACACCACACUACAUUCUCGAGAUAUCAAUGUAGGGCCUUACAAUGAUUUGUUUGAUGUCCAUGAAUGUGAUAAUAAUGGAAAUACUUGGAUCUAUCUUGCUAUUCAGAAGGCUAGAUGGGCGUUGGAGGCCAUCAGAAGUUCGGGUCAUCUUUUAGUUUAGCCAACAAUUCUUGAGGUGAGGUCGUGAAUUCUACUCAGGUCACGGAUGAGGUGAACUUAACGGGAGGAUUUUUAUUGAACCUUUUUUUUUUCUUAGGUCCAACUCCUCAAUCUAAAGUAUGUUUGACUAGUGUGAUCUUCCUUUUUUUAUCUACGACCCUUAGCUCUUCUUCCUUGUUGGCGUAGUGGUUUGCUUUCACUAAGAGUUCCUCCAUGGUAGUCAACCCACUUUUCGCUAGUGACUACAGUAGAGGGCUUCUAGGCUAUAAAGUCUUUCUGAAAGCAACAAUUACCGCCCGCUAGUCAUUGCUUUCCACUUGGACCAUUUCAGUGAUGAACUAAUGGGUGAAUUUUUGCAAUGAUUUCGCUGUUGCUUGCUUCAGGUUGAAUAGAUAAUCUACACUUCCUUUCGUUGUAGGCAUAUUAGGUCAUAAACUGGUCACACGAUUGCGUGAAGCUGUUUAUGGAAUGCAGUGGAAGCUAAUGGAACCACGUUAGGGAUGACCCAUGCAAGCUGGUCGGAAAGACUCGUUAGAGUAGUCCCUCUCGAACAUCCACAAGGGCCAUUAGUUACUGGAAAUGAUAUAUGUGUCACUGGUUCCAUCAUAGAGGUUGAAUUUUGGUGGGACGUAGUGGGUACAAUUCUUCUUGGAACAAAUGUAAUGCAAGGAUUUAAGUUUAUUUCUUUAGCUUCGAGUGGCCUUGACAGGUGAAUUAGCUUGCAAUUUGAUUUUUUGUACUUCUGUUGCCAACUUCUUGUAUUUUCGUUCAAGAUCCUCUGGUUUUUGGAUAGGUCAAACCUUAAGAAUGGUUGUCUAGGUUGUCAAGGUGCCCUACGUGCGGCUGAUCACACUUCUCUCUAAAACCUGGUCAUUCUUGUGGGGGGUUCCCCUCCACGUGUCCUUUCCAGACUCAAGACCCUUUGGUCGACCAGGGCAAACGUGUAACCUGUCUGGACCAAGUUAAGCUCCGUCUAGCAUUAGAAGUAAGAAGUUUUCCUUCUUCCAUAAUGCCAAACAGAAUGGACAAACCAAACUGGUUGACCUUUCAAACAAGUUCGCAAUGCCGGAUGAAAUGGAUAGACCAAGUUGGUUGGACUUUUCAGACGGGUAAAUCAAUCUAGUCAAGUUCUUAGGAUUUUUGACAUGUGUGGUUAACCAUGCUUGAUAUCUGAGCACCGACCUAGCCGGUUGAUGUCUGAGCGUUGGACUAGACGCCAUUUACACCCAAAAGUCAAUGUCAAUUAAUUGUAACACAUAAUCCCAAACAUUGGCAAGCUAAAUGAACAGUUAGCUACACGGUCCAAGAUUUUGGUACAACAGUCAGCAAAUGGCACCAAUCAAAAGCCCUUACUUGAUGUUAUUGCCCAGUCCACGCAGUAAUGACGACGUUGACAGUCCACACAAUUAUCAUUACAAGAUAAGGGCGAUGGCAUCAACUCUAUAUAAAUCCCUCAAGAAGCAUGAAUAAAGUACACACACUCAUUCUCUCCCACAAAAAUAGUUAGAGCUAUCCCCAUCUAACUUAAGCUUCGGAGGGGUGUGCUUGGACCAUUAGUUCAGACAUCCUUCUGUGUAGGGAAAAAGUCCGUCUGACUCCAGUAAAGUUGGACGAACUCUUCAACAAGUACGAACAAGGGAAGAAGUUCACCUAACUCUAGUGAAGUUGGACAAACUUGAAUCCAGUUGGCUCGACACCAACAAUUCUAGGUUGAUAGGUACACAUUGUUUAAAUUUCAACGCAAUUGGCAUAUUAGGCCGUCUUGUCGAAUUAGAAUAUUUUCUAUUUGCUGUUGGUGUUCUUACUGUUGUCAUUCCAGCUCGUGAAGGAUUUGUGAUAGUUGGUUCUGCAUAACAUCUAACUUGUCUAGGUUGUGCUUGGAUUUCCUUCCUCAUUUGCAAAUUCUCCAUUCAUGGCUUCUUUGCUCAUGCUGAGAUGCUAUUCUCAACAUCUUUUCCACAAACAAGGUCAUUGAAGUUGCAAUGAUUAGCACUAUCCUUUUUAUUAUUAUUAUUAUUAGUAUUAAUUUAGCUAUAUAAGUUUAAAAGAUUGCUAAAUAUGGUUCCUUCUUGCUUCAUGGUGUAGGCUUUAUAUGGCCUCUCCCUUUGUCAAUGCUUUAGGCUUUUGGUUAUGCUUUAUUGACUUUAAGGUGCAUGGGACAAGAGUGAUUGAGCUCGACUUUUUAGGGGUAGAUCGAUUAGUUAAGUCGACCUGCAAGUCUUAGGUGGGUUGUCUUUCUUUCAGGUCCUUGGUUUGGAGUGAGGUGAUUUUGUGAAGGGAAACUUGUGUUUAGGGCUGGUAAUAUCACAAUAUUAUGAGAUUGAAAACCCAACUUUUCAUUUUUUAAUAUGAGAUCGAAAACUAUUUUUUAAUACCCAAUAUGCCCUCCUCUUUCUGCCAGGUCAACCUCCACGUGGAAAAAAAAAAAAAAAACAAAAACUAAAAAUAAAAAGAACAACUUAAUAGCAACCGAACCUUCUUCCAUCUGAGUGUGCUCUAGUAUUACCUCCACCAUAACUCAUCCCAAACUUCUUCACGUCCAUCCGCGGACUCCCCACUGUUGGGUCAACUGCUCCUCUCCCACCACGUGUCGCUAGAUCUUCCGCCCACCUCACCAUCCUCUCAAUGUGCCACGUCAUGCUCUGGUGCUGCAACCUUGUCGGUGUCACUAUCAAUGACGUCGUUUCAUUGCAGUCACCGUGGCGAUGGCUGAGGAACCUUGACUCUAUGUAUCGCAUUAGCGUCUCCCCCGAGUCGAGGUUCCCUCGAUAGCCGCUAAUGAUGAGCCGCAACCGUGACUGCGAUGAAACGACGUCGUUGAUAGUGAUGCCGACAAGGUUGCAGCACCGGAGCAUGACGUGGCACAUUGAGAGGAUGUUGAGGUGGACGGAAGAUUUGGCGGCACGUGGUGGGAGAUGAGCAGUUGACCUGACAGUGGGGAGUCCACGGAUGGAAGUGAAGAAGUUUGGGAGGAGUUAUGGUGGAGGUGAUGUUGGAGCACGCUUAGAUGGAAGAAGGUCCGACAGCUAUUAAGUUGUUCUUUUUAUUUUUGGUUUUUUUUUUCCACAUGGAAGUUGACCUAGCAGAAAGAGGAGGACAUAUUGGGUAUUAAAAAAUAGCUCAACCAAAGUGCAUGAAGCCUAUAUUAUUUUUGGGAUUAGAAUAGUUAUAUUAAAAAAAUGAAAAGUUGGGUUUUCAAUCUCAUAAUAUUGUGAUAUUAUCAGCACCAAACACAAGUUUCCGUUUUGUGAACCCUCAAAGUCAAAGUCUCCUUUUUCCCUUUAGUUCUAAAUUUUUUCAUUAAAUAAGGAUUUACUUAUUUUUUUAUUUUUGAAAAGAAACUGAACUAAACGUUACAGUAACCUUACUAUAACCCUAAAAUGUCUUGGUAAUUACGUGGCUAUCCAUGUUCAGAUUGGUUGUUUAUAUGGAAGCACAACAGAAGACGUCCUCACAGGUAUGAGGAUACAGGCAAGAGGUUGGAAAUCCACAGAUUGCCGGCCUGACCCUCCUGCAUUUCUUGGGUGCGCACCCUCAGGAGGGCCUGCUGCACUUACCCAACAGAAGAGAUGGGCCACUGGCCUCCUUGAGAUCCUGUUCAGCAAGAACAGCCCAUUCAUUGCCGCCUUCACUGCAAAGCUCCAAUUUCGCCAAUGCCUUGCAUACCUGUGGUUUAUUUCAUGGGCUUUACGGUCAAUUCCCGAGCUUUGUUAUCUUGCUUUGCCAGCAUAUUGCAUCAUGGCCGGCUCACAUUUCUUGCCCAAGGUGAGCAAAACUAAAACCAUUCAGUUUUCCUCUUAAAUGCAUACAUAGCAUUAGUAGUAGUACUUCACCAACCUUUGUUUUAUCAUCAUUGACGCAGGUCCAAGAGCCAGCUGUGUUGAUACCAAUAUCCCUCUUUGUCAGUUACAAUUUUUACACUCUAUUUGAAUACUAUGGAGCUGGGUUUUCAAUCCGAGCAUGCUGGAACAAUUUGAGGAUGGGGAGAAUAACCGCAGUGACUGCAUGGUUAUUUGGAUUUUUCAGUGUCAUUCUAAAGCUCCUGGGGUUAUCGGAGACCGUCUUUGAAGUUACAAAAAAGGACCAAUCUACUACUCCUGGUGAAGGCAGUGACAAGGAUGCUGGUCGAUUCACCUUUGAUGGGUCUCUGAUUUUUGUUCCGGCCACUACUCUUUUGUUGGUGCACCUGAUGGCACUUGUUACAGCCUUGUUAGGACUAUUUGAUCAUGUCGGGAUCGAAUCAAGAAUAGGGGAGAUAAUAUGUAGCGUGUGGGUGGUGCUAUGCUUCUCGCCGUUUCUUAAAGGCCUGUUUGGGAAAGGAAAAUAUGGGAUACCCACAUCCUCCAUAAGCAAGUCAGUAGCUUUGGCAUUGCUUUUUCUUGCUUGCACUACUACAGUAAGAAAAUGAUUUUAUUGAAAACCGUACUGUUUAUUAAGCAUAAUUGUUAAUCAAGUGUGUUAUGACAAGUAUCAUCCGGUUCAGUGUACGAACAAAUUUGUUGCAAUUAUAAAGGCAGUUUGCUUUUCACCAUUGCCGUAGCAGCAGCAGCUCCAUGAACUGAAAUGAAGAAAUGAUCACAAGCAGUUAAAACUAUCCAAAAGUUUAUACAGUUGAAAAUUGGCGUAAGGUUAAAUAGAAUAAAAAUAUUUGAAAAAGUGAGAUCAACCUUUUACUUUUUCAACCAAAAAAAUAUAUUAAAAUGCAUUUUAUUUGAUAUGAGUUUAAUUAAUAUAUUUUAAAAAAUAUAAUGACUAAAGAACCUUAUUUAACAUUUUCAUAAAUUUAAAAAGUAAGUAAUUUAACAAUAUUGUAUGGGUGGAAAUAAUACAUAUAUACCCUUGUUUAAUUGAACGUAUUUUCUCUUUUGCUUCUCUUUCUUCUUUGAAUUAGAUUAUUUAGUCAUUACUAUCAAAAUAAGAGUAAUUUCUCUUAUUUCAAAAGCCAAAAGGUAAAACAAAUUUCCUUUAUAAGUUUUUGUCAAACUUAGGUGGUAUUUAUUUUUUGGUUAAAUAAAAAAGGUCAAAAUAUUUAGGUUUUUUUAUUCGGUUAAAACUAUAUAUUGUUAAUUUGUUCAUAUUUAGCUGUUGUAAGUUUUUAAAAUUAGAAAUGAUGUGAGUGACAAAAAAAAAAUCAUCAACAAGAUAUUUGAAUGCUCAUGAAUAACGGGGUGGGAGGGGAUGGGUGUGGUUCAUGGUGGUGGUGCUUGUGGGCCUAAGGUUGCCUCUUAGGACAUUUAAAUGCCCUCUUGGGUAUUUGAAUGCUUGCCCUUAAUUAUCUCUUUAUUUUUGCAAUAUUUUGAGUUUUUCUCCAUUCUUAAUGCCCUUAAUUAUCUCUUUAUUUUUGCAAUAUUUCGAGUUUUUCUCCUUUCUUUUCAUCCUAAUUUCAUAUUUUAGUUAUUCUAUAAGUUUUAUCAACUUUAGAUGCAUACACACUUAAAAAGACAAUGAUUUUGAAAUGGUUUGAGGUUAGCUUUAAAGUAGUCCGAAGUUAAAUAGAAGGUUAUAAGAUGUAAAGAAAUAUGUCACAUCCAAUCAAUAAAAAAUAUAGCAAAAUUGCCAACUAAACCUUACAUAUCAACAAGCUAAUACGAAAAGAAAUUAGUUCCCUCCUAUGAUAAAAAACUUAGGAGUGUAAUUAAUCCUAUAAGGAUUUUUGAUAUUAUCUUUUAGAAAAGAAAAUUGGUUUUAAAAAUCACCGACAGGGAUUAAGAUCAAGUGGUAUUAGACUCGGUUUUUACCAAAUGAUAAAAAGCUCAAGUGUGUAGUUAAUCCAAUAUGUAUGUAUGUAUGUAUGUAUGUAUGGAGAGAUAGAAAUCAACCUCCUUGUGCAAUUGCAGUUGCCAUAAUUAUUGUCGUGUAAUGAAUAUUGUUUCAUGUGGUUCAUCUUUGAAACCCUACAAUCACUACCUACCCAAGGUGAAAUGAUAUUCUAUUUUGGUAAUGCUUUAUCUAAGCAUGAUAAUAAUUGACAAGGAGUAAAACAUGUAAAAACAUUUUCCUAUUUGAUUUAGGUCGAGGGUUAGUAGCUAGACACAUCCACCAUUCCUCCCUUCACACCUAGCUACUUUAUUGAGAAAAAUAAAAAAGAAAGAGCAGGUGUAGGGAGAGAAAAAAUAAGUGUAUUUAACAACAUCCUAAGUCAUUAAUAUAUAUAAUUGAUAAAAAAAAAAUUGAAUUACCUUCAAAGAUACUCAAGAAUCCUAAUUUGACUGCUUCAUUGACAAGUUUUUUGUGUCAAGUUAUGAAUGAAAUAAGAUAUAAAAAUAAUUUGACUUUGAAUUUUUUUUUUUUUACUUUUUCUUUUAUUUUAUUUUUCCUUUUUAUUUUCUUUUCCUCUCAGUUUCCUCAAAAUUUUGCGAGAGCCAAACAUAACAUUAAUAUUUUGAUACCUUAGACCUUGAAUUUUAGGCACUAGUGAGUGACUUUCAUGGUAAAAAGGAGACAAUGAAAAUUCGGGCAACAAUACUAAUUUAGAAAUAUAUGUGCCCAAAAACAUUUCUUCUUAAGGCCAAUGUUUGUUUUAUUUGUGGAGUCUCUUUCCCUUUCUCUAGCUUGAUGAUCAGAGGUUUUGUGGUCGAUGGGGGCAGGAGGUCUCACCUUGAAUUGUGUGAUUGCAAAGACUGAUUUAUUGAGCCAAAUCCAAGGAAAGAGAGAGAGCCAAAAAAAGAAUCAUAGUAUUAAGCCAAAACAUUGAACUAAAAGAAAGUUUUAGAAUGCAAUAACUUCAUGUUUGUGUUACAAACCGGGCUCGGUUUGAUUGUUGAGAAAAUGGGAGGAAAACACAGGAAAGACGGUUUUCAAUCCUAUGUUGUAAAUAUUAACAGGGUUGUAGGCUCCAAUUGGCAGUUUAGACAAUCUAGGAGACAAAAGAAAAGCAUGUUCAAAUCUAUGUGGUACCUAUUUUCUCUAUUUUAAAAUUAAAAAAAAACGAGUAACUUUUAUAAAAGAUAUAAUAAUUCUUAAAGGUUUAUGGAAAGCAAUGAUUUAAAAACAGUCUAAAAAAAUUCAAAUAUAAAAUCUUUUUAUGACCUUAAAUUUAAAAAUUCUUAAAAGUGAUUUUUAACUAUAUAAAUUAAAUACAUACAUUUUAUAGAAAAUAUUAUGGGUGACAAAGUUUGAUAUGAUUUACUAACAUAAUCCGAACCCAACAUAUAUUUCACUGGUUUGGAUCAAAUUCGUAUUGACUUGUUAAACUCAUUUAAUAAAUAGGUAAUUUUUGGAUUAACUUGCAUAACAUGAAUUUGUUCCAUUUAAUAAUCUUGCUAUUAAUUUAAUUAUAUCUUAAAACUAUUUAACUUAUAUUUGAUUUAUUUUAAAUUUAUUUUUAAAUAAAUAGAUCAAUUGAAUCAUAAAUAUAUUUAAUUGAAAUAUUAAUCAUAUAAACAUAUGGACAACUUAACUCAAUAUAAUUAUUAUAUAGGAAAACUAAUUAUUAAAUAGGUUAAAUGGGUUGUUAAACUUGUUACCUAUUUAAUUAUUAGGUAUUAUUUGAGUUUAUGUUUUUGACAUGAUUAUUAUUUAUAUCGGGUUUGGGUUGAGUUAUAUAUUAAAAUACCUAAACUUUGACACAAUACAAACAUGACCAAUCAACACAAAUUACCACCCCUACAAAAUAUUUUACUUUUAUAUAUAAAAGUUUUUAGGACUUUAAAAUAAUAAAAUAUUUAGUUUAUCCAAACUAAUACCAAAUUUUUCAUGCAAGCGAAAAUUAAAUGAUCUAAUCAACCAUUACUAAGACAACUAUUUGGUAGAACAAAAUCAACAAACAUAUAGUUAUUUCCAUUCUUGUUUUAAGCAACUAAAAAGCAAACAAUUUAACAUAUCUGUGAAAAAAAAAAAAAAACUAAAACCAAAUAUUCCGUUAAGUUAAAGAAUAGGAAAAAAGAAAGAAAAUUUAAAAAAUUUCUAGAAUUGCACUAUAUUUUGCCUCUAGAAGGUAAUUAAAAAAAAAGACCAAUGUUAACAAAUUUGUUUUUUAGAAAAAAAGGAAGAAGAAAACACUAAAACCAAAUCUUCCCGUAUGGUUAGAAUAGAGAAAAUGGAAGAAAAUUUAAAAUUUGGAAUUGCAAAAACAACUUCAACAAAUUUAUAAAACACAGGAAACACUAAAACGAAAUAUUCCAUUUGGUUAGUGAAUGAAGGAAAAUAGAGAAAAUUUAAAAUUCUGGAUUUAACAGAGGUGAGUUUUGUGGUUCUUUAAUUUAUAUUAUAUUAUUAUUAAGGAAUAUUUGGUUAAAAUGGGCAAAAGAAGCCCUCGUAAUUAAUCAUUUUUAUACCAAAUUACCCUCAAACCAUCACCUAUUAAUACAACGACAUUAUUUCAUUCCAAAUUCAAAGCAAUGCCUAUUGUACCUUCUUAAAAUUAAGUUAAAUGUCAAUGGACACAUACAAUACGUCCAGACACUUCUUAUUGAUUUUCAUAACCCCACCAUGCAAAAAUGGGAUAUACAUUUAAAAUGGAUGUCAAAGAAGGGUUAAAGUCAAAUAAUAUUUUUCACAAUAUACAUACUAUAUAUAGGAAUGUGGUAUAAUUAAUUCUUGACAUCUGGUAGACAAAGAAUAUUUCAAAAAACUUAAGAACAAAUAUGUAUAAAAUAAAGAGAUCCCAACAUCCCAAGUAAAUAAUUGUUAUAAUGGAUGCAAAUUUUGGACUACUAGUUAAUAUCAACAAUGGGUUUAAAAAAGUAUCUAAAAAUAUCAAAUUUAAAUAUUUGUACUUGUGGUAUACGAGAUGUUGCUUAGUCAAUUAGUUAUGAAAUACCAUUAACUCUAUGUGUAUUAUCAAUAUCUCUACAUGGGAUUCAUUGAGAUAUAAACUUUUCCCUUAUUUUUUUUGAGAAGAGAAGGGAAACAUACUCAAUAUUAUUUGAUUGAAUAGUUGACAUAACUCCUUAUUAUUUGAAGAAACCCUUCACUUUAAUUAAUACUUUUUAGGGAUUCAAUUUGGAAGGAGGAAGGUCGGUUAUAAGUUAAAUGUUAGAAAGAUUAAAAUCAAUGGGUGCUGGAGCUGCUACAAUUGCUUUAGCCACAACUUUUCCCACCCAUGUUGACUUUAUUAAGGUAAUCCAAAAGAGUUUAGAAGUCAUCUCUAAACUAUAAAAAGAUAAAAUCAAUCGAUUGUUAUUGAUUUUGAUAGCUAACUAAAUUUUGGGUUGUUUGAUCAAGUAAGGUAAACACGAUAGAAUUCAUAACUGUCUUGAUGUUAUGUUUUUUUCUUUUUAAUUUAAUUCAAAUCUAUUUCUUCACUAUACGUAAUUUAUACCUAGCUUAUUUUUUAAGUUUAAGCUCUCUCGAGGGACAAAAUUAGCUGCAAGAGUUCUUUCAUCUUUUUUUCUUCUUUAAUAUUGUCAAAUCCUCCAUUUGAGUUCUUCCAUGUUUUUUUUUCCUUCUUCAAGAUUGUUACAUUUUCCAUUUUUUUUAAAAUUUUUUGUUGAGGUUUUUUGUAGCUGUUUUUUAUUGCAAUUUUUUUUACAUUUGUUUUUUAGUUGGGUUUUUUUUUCGUAGCUUUUUUUUUGUUAGGGUUUGUAGUUGCUUUUAUUAGGGUUUUUUGGGUGUUGUUUUUUAUUAGGGUUUUCUAUCUAUAUAUAUAUAUAUCUAUAUAUAUAUAUAUAUAUAUAUAUUGUGAUUUUUUACAAUUUCAUUUAAACUUCUAUGUUGUUUUUGGCUAGAGGUUUUUAUAGUUGUUUUUUUUGCAUUUAUUUUUUGUUGGGAUUUUGGCAGGAGUUUUUUGUAGUUUUUUUUUUUAUGGGGUUUUUUUGUAGUUGAGUUUUUAUUAGGUUUUGAACAUGAGAUCAAAUAAAUGAACAUCUAAUUAAGAUUUAUUGAUAAAAUAAAAAUUAAUGUCAUUUAAGUUCUUUUAAAAUGAAACUUAAUCAUAGUACAAUUUAGGUUAUAAUAAUCAAGUUCUUUGUAGAUGAAAGGGAAACUUAACCUUAAUUAAGAUCUUUCUAAAUGAAACUUAACUAUAGUAUAAUUUAGAUUAUCAUUAUAAUAGAGAACUAACCUUAUUUAGGUUUUUUUGUAGGCUUAACUUAAUUCUGGUGUAGUUCAAUUGAACACCCACAAUGAAAAAUUUAUCUUAGUAAGAAAAGCAAACUAAAAAGAUAAAUAUAUUAUAAAAAAAUGAUGAAAUGCAUAAAGCGAAAACAAAAAGUGGGAAGGUGAUGUUUUUGGAGCAGUGUAGUUCAGAUGAACACUUUGAACAAAAAUGAAAACAAGUUGUUUGAGAGAUAAAACAAUAGAUAGAGCAUUAUGAGAGGAGAAAGAAUUUUCUCAAAGCGUCAUGAAGGGAAAUAAAAAUAAAACAAAUUUAAAACAUAAUAGAUGGCAACAAUUACUAUUGUUGGUUGGAUGAAUUGUAACAGGUAAAGGAACAGUGGCUUGGAUUUAGUUAGAUGUGGAACACAACAGUGAGCCAUCAGAAGCACGAGACCAAUGGGCACAAGAGUAAGGAUGGAAUAAUUUUUCUCUCUUAUUCUAAGGGCUGGGGUGGGGGGACUUUUAUAGGUAAAGUUCUAAGGAGACUCUCCUCUAAAAGUUGAAUGUCUAAAAUUAAUUUAAAAUAGUUUACCUAUUCCAGUCCAUUAACAUGUUCUCAAAACCUAAUUCCAUACUCCAACUACGGAGGACCCAGUGAAAGACUUAUAUAUCCAAAAGGAAAAACCCUUAAAAUUAAUAAAAAAGAAUCAACUUUUAUUUUGUAAACGAAGGUUAAAAUUGGGAACAUAGGAACCUCUAUGCUUGACGAAGAUUUUCUAGAUUGGGUUACUUUAAAUCCUACUUGAUAGGCCUGGACUCCUUGGGCACGCGAGACCCCUACUUCCCUCUCGACAAGUGUUCAAUCCCCUUUCAAUGUAGAAUUGUCCAUUUUAGCUUGAGCAGUCCAAUACACACACCCACAUGCAUUUUUUCCGGACGCUCUUUUCUCCUUAAAAGUAAAACAUUUUGUACAAAAAGUAUAAAUUUAUUUUAUGUUCUUAAAAAUCACUUUAACAAUUUUAACUUUUGAGGUAAUAAACUUUUUUGAUACCUAAUUUUUUUUAUACCUUUUUUAAAACCACUACAUUUUUUGUGUAAGUCUUUUAAGAAUUCUUGUACUUCAUGUAAAAGUUACUAUUAUUUUUUUUUUAUUUAAAAAAUAUAAAACAAGAAGUAUAUCCAAAUAGAUACUAAAUUUAGUAUUAACUUUCAUUAAAUAUUAAGUAAUGAGCUAUGAGAUAGACAAUUAAGGGAGCCAAGAUGAAUUAAGGGAAAUUGAUUUCUUUCAACUCUUUUUAGUACUUUGAAAGGAUAUUUUUGGCAGUGAUUUGGGUAAAAGUCUUUUUAGUCUUAGUGGUUUUCGUGGUAAAACUUGUAUAAUAAAUACUAUUAUGGAUACUUAUAGCCUAUUUGGGACUAUAUUCGAAAACAAAAAAUUGUUUUUUUAGAAUUGAAAAUACAUUUCAUAAAUUUUUAAUGGAAAGUAGUUUUUUUAAAAAAAAAACUUGUUAUGAAAAGAAAGUGUUUUUGAAAACAUAUAUAUUUUAACUAUUUUAAAUUGUUUUCACUUAUCUGCUAAGGAUUGUUUUAAAAAUAGUUAUGCAAACAUGAAAGGAUUGAAAACAAAGCAUUAUAGAUAAAAGUUUUUAUUUGUAUUUUUUUUUAAAUUUGGAAACAUACAAAAAACGCAAUGCGAAUAUACCAAGUUUCUAGAUAGUUUUUUGUUCUAAAUAAUAUCAGAGAACUAUUCUCAAUUUUUUUUUCCUUUUUGAAAAUUGUAAGUUCUCAAACAGGUCUUUAGUAUUUGAAAAAAAAAAAAAGUUUUUCAUAGCAUUAAUUUUGGCAAUUUGUAUAAUAAAAAAUGAUUUUCAAAGGAAACGUCAAUCAAGUCCUAAUAUAAAAAAUGAUUCUCUAGAUUUUUAAUUAAAAAUAAUCUUUAGUAUGAAGGAAAGAAUAAGCUCUGAAUUUCAUAUAUCAUACACAAAGCGGGCCAUGUGACCUUCAAAUAUGUAACGGUAAUAGUAAUAUUGUCAUAUUUUGUCAAUUGUCCCCAGAAAACUCCAAAUUGCAUGCGCUUAAUAUAUGUUGAAUACAUCGAUGUAAUCGGACAUAAAACAUUUAUAUUGUAGCAGCAAUAUAAGUAAAGGCUAUACUUGUAUGUCCAAUGAGAAAAAAACAAGAGGAAAAACUACUGUUGGGUUUGUUUUGCAAGGAAUGGUCAGCACAACUGUAAGUGCAAUAACACCUCCGCAAACUGCCUACACCAUUUGUCCAACAAGUAUCCUCCUCCAUUUUCCAAUGGCCAAACCAAUCUCCUAACCUCUCUACGAAAAAAUUCCCCAGAAAAACACUCUCCAUAGAGCCUUGGAACUCACCAUCUUCUUCCUUCUCCUCUCUCUCCUUGCUUAUCGUCUCCUCUCCCUAAAAAACAAUGGCUUCACUUGGCUCCUCGCCUUCCUCUGUGAGUCAUGGUUCGCCUUUAUUUGGAUUCUUAACUUGAGCCCCAAAUGGAAUCCUGUGUCCUACAAAACAUACCCUGAACGCCUUCUACAAUGUUAUCGGUAUCCAAUAAUUCUCUUAGUAAAACUCUUCAUGCGCUUUGGUGUUUUUUUCUGCCUUCAAAUUUUAUAUACAACCAUACUUGCGAUAUUUCUGAACAGAGAGAGUUGAUGAGCUUCCUCCAGUGGACAUGUUUGUGGCAAUUGCAGACCCCAUGCUGGAACCCCCUAUCAUCAACAAUCCUCUCCUUGCUGGCAGUUUACUAUCCAGAUAACAAGCUUUCUUUCUACGUGUCCAAUGAUGGGGCUUCCCCUCUCACCUUCUUCGUUCUCCUUGAAGCAUCCAAGUUUGCUAAGCUUUGGGUUCCUUUCUGUAAGUAUGGUAUUCAAACUAGAGCUCCCUUUAGAUACUUUUCCAGCGAGUUGGCAUCAUCCCAUGAUAAUUCAAUGGGGUUCCUACAAGAAUACAAAAAGAUAAAGGUAAGUGCGUGAUUCCUAGUAGGAACCAUUAAUACUGGAAAUUAAUUAUAUUAGUUCAGAUGAUUUUUACUAUAAUUUUAAUUACAAUUGUUAAAAUGCAGAUGAUUUUGAAUUUUGAAAUUUCCUUUUCCUUUAGUAUAUUGGAUAUCGAUCCUUUUCUUUUCUAUUUAUAUAUAGACCUUCUUCAGUAAAGAAUUCUACUAGCUAGCUAGUAAGUUACUUUUCCAAACAUACUGGCCUCCUCUCCAUCAUGGUACAGUGAUGCUUUGAUAAAAGCUUUUGCAUAUCUGUCUUUCGUUUAAACAAUUUUGUUCAUCUUCAUCUCCUUUAGGAACGAUAUAAAGAGCUUACACGAAAAAUUGAAGAUGCAACUCUAAAUUCAAAGCCUUAUGAACUUGGUACUGCAGAGUUUGUGGCUUUCUCAAAUGUAGAAAGAAGAAACCAUCCGACCAUAAUCAAGGUAUGUUCAUAUAUAGCUCAUCUGUUAUUUACUUAUUAUUACCUUGUUAAUUGUAGAUCAAAGUAAGCAACCAAUUUAAAAUCUGUUACUUUUAGGUUAACACUGAGAGGACGAGUGGUGGAAAAGGAAGCAUUUGACAAUAUUUCGAUAACCAUGAACGGUGACUUUGUAGGUUAUAUUGCUGAACAAAGAAAGCCGCUCUGAAGGGUUGCCACAUCUAGUCUAUGUGUCUAGAGAGAAGCAUCCCAACCAUCCACACCAUUACAAAGCCAGUGCUAUGAAUGUUCUGGUAAGGAAGCUCCUUGAAUUGGUAUAACUACUGAUAUCCCUUUUUGUUUAAUAAAGAAGAUCCUUCAAUUGGUAUAAUUAAUGAUAUCCCCUUUUUUCCCCUGAUUGUUUCAUGAUAACAGACUAGGGUCUCUGGAGUUAUGACAAAUGCUCCUUUCAUGAUGAACGUCGACUGUGAUAUGUACGCUAACAAUCCACAGAUUUUUCAUCACGAAAUGUGUUUGCUCCUUGGUUCCAAGAAUGAACAGGAAUGCGGGUUUGUUCAGACUCCACAACUCUUCUAUGAUGGACUAAAGGACGACCUAUUUGGAAAUCAGCUAGUAGUGUGGUAUAAGGUAAUUUCAAUAGUGAAGAGCAAUCUCUUCCAUACUAUAGAGCACGUACGCGCAUAUUUUUUUGAUAGCGAGUCCUACGAAAAUCUUGUGCUUAUGUAGAAGCCUAAUUUCUUUUUUGCUUCUUAAUUAAUGUGUUUGAAACAGUAUAUGGGGAGUGGGAUAGCAGGGCUUCAAGGACCUAUGUAUUCUGGAACGGGAUGUUUUCAUCGAAGAAAAGUUAUCUAUGGGUUAUGGCAAGAUGGCAGGAUGGAAAUCAAAGGAAGAAGUGGUAUGCAAAUCAAAUUUUUCAUGGUCAUUCUUCACUGUACAUAUCUUCUUGUUUUCUGUCAUUCUAUGAAACCAUGCAUUGCAAUUUUUCUACUGUUUGGCAGGAAAAUUAACUGAUCAUGAGGGAUUACAAAAAACAUUCGGAAAUUCAAAGGAAUUCACCAGAACAGCAGUAAAGAUUUUAUCAGGGUUGAGCGGGAAUUUGGUAAAUUCUACCACAAGAAUAACAAUUAAAUACCAACAAUUAUGAUAUUUAUAUCUCAUUUAACAUUUUUAAAGCAAAGCUAAAUCAUUUUACACAUUUAGGGUUUCCAAAAACAACCUAAAUGAAAAUUAUAUAACGAUUUGCUACACCCAACAACUCACUCAUUUUCAUGGAAGUUUUUGAAAAUAAAUAAAAGCAAAACAAAAAACCCCAAAAAAAGUCUAAGGAAAAACACAUCCCUACAUGUACCGUAAAAUCUAACCGUGGGAUCGAAAAUCUGACUCCUUAGAAGUGUUCACUGUGCUAAAGACUAUCAUUGCCUGAAAUUUCAUCAUGAUCGAAGUUCGUUUCACCAUUAGAUCAAUGGAGACACACGAAUGACCAUCUCUCUGCAUCUCCUCUAUACUUUCCCUAUUCUUAAAUACUUUUCAAUAAAAUAAGUCAUAAAAAAUUAUAAUAUUUUAAUUAUUUAUAAAAUAUAUUUAUUUUAAUGUGAAUAAUUUUUUUUUAAAAAGAAUCUAAAAAAGUUUCCAAUAUAAGUUUAAUAGGAGAGGAUAAGGUGAGUAUGAAAAAUUUAUAUCCUAUUUAAUUUUUUUAACAAGAUGAUGAUAAAAAAUAUUUUGAAUAAAUAAGAUAAGACAGGGAUAAGCAUCUCUAAUCCAUUUUAUUGCCAUCUCUACACGAUUGAAGAGAAUAUUUUUUGACAUGCAAUUUUUCUUAUAUUUUAUGUUAUUUUCAAAACUCCUUGUACAUUAGAGUUGUAAACAUGCAUGAUUAAUUGAAUAAAUUAGGAUAAAGAUAAUGUCACAUCAAUAUGCAUUCCACAAAAAGGAAGAAAUUGAAUGGGAGCAUGUACCGGCUUCAUCAGCCGGCAAUCAUGCAAAAUUUGGCUGAUAUUUACGUCUAUUGUGGACUUUACACCAAGUUUACUCUAUCAUAUGGGCCAAUUAUCCAUCUCUAUCGCCCUAAAGCAUCAGUAUCCCCUAUUUGUUCUUUUGGGGAAAAAUAUAACAAUCAGGUUGCAGGGUCAAUUUGGUAGGGUACACCUGUCAAGAGUAUUGUGGACGUGGCCGUAAAGUACGACCACUGCACUUGACAUGAUCUCUAAGCCAUGGUUUCUUCCACAUGAAUUUUCUUUUUUCUGAAUUAUGUUCAACGAUAUCAUCAUGGAUUUGCCUGCCACGCUUCUAUAAUUCAAUCUUGAGUUACCUUGAAGAUCAUGCAUGCUUUUGUCUUCCACAUUCAUUUUUCCAAAUCUUUCAUGCAGCUAGAUGAUUAAUUGCAAAUUUAUGUUGAUUAACUCUUGUAUUUUUUUAUCAUGCACGAUACACACGUAAACUCAGUCUUAAUUAUUUUACAAAUAACAUUUUGUUAAAUUAAUUACACUUUACAACAAAAAAAACUUGGAUUAUAAUACAAAUGUCCAUAUCAAAGGAAGUUCUACAGACAUUAUAAUUAUAACUCGGAUGAGUUAGAUGAGCUAGAAGACUAAUUUGUUUCAAAUCUACUAUCAACUUGUCCAACCCAAACCACAUCUAAUUAACUCAAGGUUGGAUCGAAAAUUAUUAAUCCACUCCAAGUCCUAUACAAUUGAGGUUCCAGUUCUUACAAGUUAUUGAGUAAGAUAAUUAUUUUAAAGUCUAUAUCAAAUAAAAUAUAUUAUAAAAUAAAAUAUUACAACUUAAAUGUCUCAAAGUUUUAAACCAUGUCCUUUAGCCAUUGAUUUAAUGUAUAUGACACCUGACCAACUAAAAUUUCAACAUUCGAAAAUAUUCUAACAAUUAGAGUCAUGACCUACAAAAGUGAGAAAUAUUAGACUUUAUAUGUGUAUAUAUAUAUAUAUAUAUAUAUAUAUAUAUAUAUAUAUAUAUAUAUAACAAUAAAUAAUAUAAUUUUAAGUUAAUAAAUAAAUAAUAAUGUAUAAAUAUGGGUUUCCAUGGGUUGUCUAAAUGAUUAAACUGUGGCAAUAUUAAUAUUUUAUGGUUGAUGGUUUUCUAACCCAAGCACCAAGCUAACCCAUUUAAACCUUACCCACAUCAAUUGGAACUGGGGUGAACCCUCGAAGUUGCAGUCCAAAGAGACGUAAAUUAAGGUGUCGAUUAAAUUCAAAGAUUAAUAUUUAAUUACCUAAAAUAAUUUAUGAAAUUUUCUUUAUUUGAUGACUUAAAACUUAUCAUUUAAUCUUAAUUUUUCAGUAUCAAGAUUACUUAAUAAAAUUAACUUAAAUUUUUUUAAAUUAGCUAUCAAAUUUAACAUAUUAACUUUUAUUAAUAUUAAGUCAUGACCAAUGAGAGAGACAAUUAAGGGAGCAAGAUAUAAUAGUUGUGAUAUAAAAUUGAUGAGAACUAUAUUGAAAACUGUUUUUACUUUUCUUUUGACUUUUUUUUACUCUUAAGGAUCAUUUUGACCUAUAUAGUUCUUUGUUAGGAAAACUCUUAUAGUAAAUACUUUUAUGAAUAUUUAAUAUUUGGCAAUAAAUAAAUAAAAAAAGUUCUUGAUGAUAUAUGUAUGAUUAAAAAAGUGAUUUUUAGAAAAACUUUUACCAAAUCUUUGUAUAAGAUGUGAUUUUAAAAUUUCUCAAAGAUAGUUUUUGAAACUUAAUCAAAUACAUAUUAAAAAUAAGUAGUUUUAGCAUUUUCAGAGUCAUACCCAAAUAAACUUUUAGGUAUUCUUGACUUUAAAUAGCCUUAUUGAGUCCUAUUGACUAAUAAUACUAAUUAUAUCUGUCGGAGGGACAGCUGGGAAAUCCACGAAUGCAUGCGGUAUAUGUUGAAUAAAAUCAAUGUGUAUUAUGCAUCACACAUUUAUAUUGUAGUAGUAAUAAUAGGAAUAUGGCUGUUUAAUUAAACUACACUAGUAUGUCCAGUGAGAAAAAACAAGAGGAAAAUUGAAAAACUACUGUUGGGUUUGCUCUGCAAGGAAUGGCCAGCACAACUAUAAAGCCUGUCUAACCCGGCAACUCUUAAGGUAUCCUCCUCCAUUCUCGAAUGGCCGCACCAAUCUCACCUCUCUAUGAAAAAAUCCUCCAGAAAAAUACACUCCAUAGAGCCUUGGACCUUACCAUCUUCUUCCUUCUCCUCUGUCUCCUUGCUUAUCGUCUCCUCUCCCUAAAAAACAAUGGUUUCGCUUGGCUCGUCGCCUUCCUCUGUGAGUCAUGGUUCACCUUUCUUUGGGUUCUUAACUUGAGCUCCAAAUGAAAUCCUGUGUCCUACAAAACAUACCCUGAACGCCUUCUACAAUGUUAUCGGUAUCCAACAAUUCUCUUAGUAAAACUCUUCAUGUACUUUGGCGUUUUUUUCUGCCUUCAAUUUUCAUAUAUGACCAUACUCUUGAUUUUCAGAACAGAGUUGAUGAGCUUCCUCCAGUGGACAUGUUUGUUACAACUACAGAUCCCAUGCUGGAACCCCCUAUCAUCACUGUAAACACUGUCCUCUCCUUACUGGCAGUUGACUAUCCAGCUAACAAGCUUUCUUGCUAUGUGUCGGAUGAUGGAGCUUCCCCUCUCACCUUCUACGCUCUCCUUGAAGCAUCUAAGUUUUCUAAGCUUUGGGUUCCUUUCUGUAAGAAGUAUGGUAUUCAAACUAGAGCUCCCUUUAGAUACUUUUCCAGUGAGUUGGUAUCAUCGAAUGAUAAUUCGAUGGAGUUCCUACAAGAAUACAGAAAGAUGAAGGUACGCAAACUAUUCCUAGUAUGAACCAUAGGUACUUGGUGAAAUUUAAUUUUUGCUUCUUUACUUUUAAUUACAAUUCUUAAAAUGCAGAUGAUUUGGAAUUUGGAAUUUUCUUUUCCUUCAGCAUAUUGAGUAUUGUAAAGUGUGAUUAAAGGGUCAAAGCUUAACCCUAAUUGAUAUUCAUCCAUGUAAAUAUAUAGUACAUCAAGCAAACCUAAUUAAGGGAAAACCGUGAGUUUAGGAAACAUUCCUAAACAAUGCCGUGAGUUUAGGAAACAAUCCUAAACAAUAGCUCCUAGAAUAUAUCAUAAUAUCUCAACAUUUAGGAAACAAUCCUAAACAAUAGCUCUUAGAAUAUAUCAUAAUAUCUCAACAUUUAGGAAACAAUCCUAAACAAUAGCAACUACUUUCCUAGAAUAUAUCAUAAUAUCUCAACACCCUCCCUCAAGUUGGAGCAUGAGGUUCAAAAAUGCCCAACUUGGCAAGAAGAUAAUCAAAUUGUUUCUUUCCAAGAGCCUUUGUAAAAAUAUCGGCCAAUUGUGUAACAGUAGGAACAUAUGACGGAGCAAUCAAACCAUCUGUUAUCGCAUCCCGAACAAAGUGACAAUCAACCUCAAUGUGUUUGGUGCGUUCAUGAAAUACUGGAUUUUUGGCCAUAUGAAGGGCUGACUGACUAUCACAAAAGAGCUUGAUUGCCUUUGGGUGGUGCACACCCAAGCUCAGAAGCAACCCCUUCAACCAUUUGAGCUCACAAGUAACUGCUGCCAUAGCUCGGUAUUUCGCUUCUGCAGACGAGCGGGAAACUGUGUGUUGCUUCUUUGUCUUCCAAGAAAUAGGAGAUUGCCCAAGAAACACAAGCCAUCCAGACAAAGAGCGUCUAGUGACUGGACAUGCUGCCCAAUCAGAAUCACACCAACCCUGCAGGGACAUAUCACUAUCUGCACGUAACAAGAUACCCUGACCCGGAGUACCUUUCAAAUAACGAACGACUUUCAAAGCCGCCUCCCAAUGCUCAAUUCUAGGCUCCUGCAUAAAUUGAGAUAAUAUAUGAACCGAGUAGGCCAAAUCUAGAUGGGUCACUGCCAGAUAAAUGAGUCGACCUACUAAUCUGUGAUAGGACUCAGGGUUCGACAAGAGCUCCCCAUUUGCGAGUCCUAAUCUGUGAUUUUGCUCGAUCGGGAAGCCACACGGCUUGGCUCCCAGUAAUCCGGCCUCCGAUACAAUGUCAAGUGUGUACUUGCGUUGACACAAGAACAAACCAGCCGAACUCCUGGCCACCUCGAUUCUGAGGAAAUACUUCAAAACACCAAGAUCUUUCAUCUUAAAACAAUCACUGAGAAAGGCUUUAAAGGUCUUAAGUGCAGCGGAAUCAUUCCCAGAGAUAAUAAGAUCGUCGACAUACACUAGCACAUUUAUUUGAACAUUGCCCUUAGUGUAAGUAAAAAGAGAAUAAUCAGAGUAGGAUUGUAAGAAACCAUAUCCUUUGAGAGCCGUGACCAACUUGGCAAACCAACAUCUCGGAGCCUGUUUCAACCCAUAAAGUGAUUUCCGUAACCUGCAAACCAAGUUCGGAUCGGAACUCUCAAAUCCUGGGGGUAGCUUCAUAUACACUUCCUCCUCAAGAUCUCCAUGCAAAAAGGCAUUGUGAACAUCCAUCUGAUGAAGUUCCCAAUUUUUCGAAGCCGCAAUAGCCAAGAAAGCACGCACCGUAGUCAUUUUGGCAACUGGAGAAAAAGUCUCAUGAUAAUCAAUACCGGCUUCUUGAUGAUUCCCCAAAACUACUAAUCUGGAUUUGAGCCUUUCAAUAUCACCGUUUGAGAAGUACUUGGUUCUGUAAACCCACUGACUUCCCAAAGCACGCUUACCCUUUGGAAGAGGUUCAAGAGUCCACGUACCAUUUUCCUCCAAAGCCCGAAUCUCCUCAUGCAUUGACUUUUGCCAACCGACAUCUUUCAUAGCCUCUUUAAAUGACUUAGGAUCAUUGCUCGAAAUAAUAGCUGCAAGAAACUUUUGAUAAUGUAUAGAAAAAUUGUCACAAUUUAUAUAAUGUGCUAUGGGAUAAGGAGUACCUGAGGGAUGCUGUGGAGAUGGAGUGGCGGGAGAUGGACUUUCAGCAACCACCGUAUGAGUAACAAAAUCUCGUAAUAGAACCGAAGGAAAUUUAUCCCUCAUUCCCUUUCCCAUAGGAGCAGACUGCCCAUUGCUUGUAUUGUCAAGCCCAAGUGAAUCAAGCCCAACAGUGGGAACAACUUCCGGCCCAGGUGAAAGAUCUUGGUGGGCUUGGGGUUCAGGUUGGAUGAGGUUGGGAUUUUGUGUUUGGGCUUGUGGGUUAGGUAAAUCAGCAUCAUCAUCGACAAAAUCAGCAAAAUCACUAUCAAUUUCAACAUUUACCGUAGGCACAAUGUUGUCCGGAAUAAUAUUCACAGCACCUAGGUUACCAAACGGAAAAACAUCCUCAAAAAACUUGACAUCACGAGAAACAAAUAAUUCCUUGGUGUCCAAAUCAAACAACUUCCACCCCUUCUUUCCAAACGGGUAACCCAAAAACACACAUUUUCUACUUCUACUUGCAAAUUUGUCACUUUUGGAUUUUUGAUCAUGAGCAAAACUAAGACAACCAAAGGUGUGAAUUGCCGCAUAUGAAGGAGGGGUGCCAAAUAGGAUUUCAAAUGGUGUUUUAUUGUGUAACAAAGGAGAGGGAGUGCGGUUUAUUAAAUGAGCAGCGGCAAGAACACUUUCGCCCCAAAAAUAAAUAGGCAAAUUUGCUUGAAAGCGUAAUGCCCUCCCCACAUUUAAAAUAUGCUUGUGUUUUCUCUCAACCCUCCCAUUUUGUUGUGGAGUUCCCACACAAGAAGUUUGGAAUAAAAUGCCAGUUGCAGAAAAAUAGUCAAGUAGGCAUUUAAAUUCCGUACCAUUAUCACUUUGAACAACUUUCACUAUUUGAGAAAAUUGUCGAUCUACCAUUGCAAUAAAAGACAUAAACAUCCGAAAAACUUCUGUUUUAUCGACCAACAAAUAAAUCCACACAGCUCUUGAGAAAUCAUCAACAAUAGUUAAAAAAUAACGAGCUCCACAAGAAGAGACAUGUUUAUAAGAGCCCCACAAAUCACAAUGUAUUUUCUCAAAAAUUCUAGUUGUCUUAUUGUCACUUAAAGGAAAUUUGUCUCUAGGAUGCUUAUCACGAAAACAUAUUUCACAAGCUUUGUUUAAACUACCCUUAAGAUUGCUAACUGGAGGAAGUAACUUCACUACUUUCUCUGAAGGAUGUCCCAUCCUUUUGUGCCACAACUCCAAAGUGGAGGCUGCGUUGUGGACAGAAACAUGUUGUACCGAAUCACCUUCAGCUCCACCGAAGUAGUAAAGUCCAUCUCGCCUAACUCCCGUUCCAAUCAGUUCCCUGGUGUGAUCCUUUAUAGCACACAUAUAAGAGUUAAAUUGGACAAUACAAUGUAAGUCAUCAAUCAAUUGUGAAACCGAAAGUAAAUUGCAAUUGAGUUUCGGCACAUAAAGAACGUUUUUAAGAGUGAUGUUAUUCGACAAACGAACGGAACCGGAUUGGGUCGCAACAACAGAUUCACCAUUAGGAAGGCCAACCGGACACUCAAACAACGCUAUAGUAUCAAAUAACCAAGAUAAAUCACUGGUCACGUGAUGAGUUGCCCCGGUGUCAAUGAUCCAUGACUUCGUGUCAAACUUACCAUUCAACCUGUCAUCCGGAACUUGAGCAUUACCAAUUAAGCCGGCAAGAGCUUUCCAUUGUUCGGGAUUUAAAUAUCGUACGAACUUGCGGCGUGCCUCCAAUGCCAACUGAAUAUCGGAAGCCCAAUCAUCGUAAUUGUCGCCGCGUAAGCGAGUGGGAGUGAUGAAGUCGCCUGGUCGGUCUCCUGUGCCGAGAAAAAAAGGUGAAUUCAUCUCCCUUUUAGGUGGCGGCAAUGGUGGUUGUUCAUCGUCGCCGGCCAUUGUUUUAUUGUGUGUGCAUGUUAGUGCUCUGAUACCAUGUAAAGUGUGAUUAAAGGGUCAAAGCUUAACCCUAAUUGAUAUUCAUCCAUGUAAAUAUAUAGUACAUCAAGCAAACCUAAUUAAGGGAAAACCGUGAGUUUAGGAAACAUUCCUAAACAAUGCCGUGAGUUUAGGAAACAAUCCUAAACAAUAGCAACUACUUUCCUAGAAUAUAUCAUAAUAUCUCAACAAGUAUUGACACUUUUCUUUUCUGUUUAUACAUAAACCUUCUUCAGAAAAGAAUUCCACUAGCCAGUCUGUUACUUCUCCAAAUAUAUCUCCUCUUCAUCAGUGUACAGUGACGCUUUGAUAAAAGCUUUUGCAGAUAUCUUCCUUGUGCUUAUACAAUUUUGUUCAUCUUCAUCUCUUUUAGGAAAGAUAUGAAGAGCUUAGACAAAAAAUUGAAGAUGCAACCCUAAAGUCAAUGUCGUAUGAGCUUAGUUCUGCAGAGUUCGUGGCUUUCUCAAAUGUAGAAAGGGAAAACCAUCCGACCAUAAUCAAGGUAUGUUUACUCAUUAUUACCAUUAUUAAUUAUAUAUCAAAAAAAGGCAACACGUGCGGCUAAUCAUAUGAGAUUAAAAUGAUUAUAUAAAUAUUUUGCCCAUGGAUUAGUAUUUAAAAAAAAAAAAAAAAAAAAGCAACCAAUUUAAGCUAUAACUAUUUGGUUAACAUGAGAGAGCUAGGGAGUGGUGAUAAAGGAAGUAUUUGACAACAUUUCUAUAACCAUGAAUGGUGACUUUGUAGGUUAUAUUGGAGAACAAGGAGACCCGCCCUGAUGGACUGCCACAUCUAGUUUAUGUAUCCAGAGAGAAGCAUCCCAGGCAUCCACACCAUUACAAAGCCGGUGCCAUGAAUGUUCUGGUAAGGAAGCCCCUUGAAUUGUGGCAUAAUUACUGAUAUUCCUUCUUUUCCCCUGAUUGUUUCAUGAUAAACAGACCAGAGUCUCUGGAGUUAUGACAAAUGCUCCUUUCAUGCUGAACGUAGACUGUGAUAUGUACGCCAAGACCUCGAGUUUGUUCAGACUCCACAAUCCUUCUAUGAUGGACUAAAGGACGACCCAUUUGGAAAUCAGCUAGUAGUUUUGUAUAAGGUAUGCUAAAUUUCAAUAGUGAAGAGUGAUCUCUUCCAUACUAUAGAGCACACGUAAUAGAAGCCUCUUUCAUUUUUUAUUUUUAUUAAUUGAUGUGUUUGCUGAUCAGUAUGUGGGAAGUGGGAUAGCAGGGCUUCAAGGACCUAUGUAUGGUGGAACGGGAUGUUUUCAUCGAAGAAAAGUUAUCUAUGGGUUAUGGCCAGAAGGUAGGAUGGAGAUCAAAGGAAGAAGUGAUGCAGCCAAUUUAUUUGUCUUACAUAUCAUUCUAAUUUUCUUAGGGGGAUCUUAAAAUGUUAUAUGAAACUAUGCAUGCAAUACAAUUUUCCACUUCUUGGUAGGAAAAUUAACUGAUGAGAGAUUAGAAAAAACAUUCGGAAAUUCAAAGGAAUUCACCACAACAGCUGCAAGGAUUUUAUCCGGGUUGAGCGGGAUUUCCCAUUGUCCAUAUGAUCUUUUGAAUCGGGUUGAGGCAGCCCAACAAGUUGCAACUUGCAGCUAUGAGUAUGGAACUAGCUGGGGUACAAAGGUGAGUUGCAAAUAUUUAGGACAAAAAGAGUAGUACCUUGAAUAAAAUCCACGUUUCCUUUUUUACCUUAAGUUCAUACUUUUUUUCAGUAAAUAAGGAUUUUCGUUAUUUUUAUUUUUAUUUUUAUUUUUUUUAAUUUAAAAAAAAAAAAAAAAAAAAAACUUCACUGAAAGCUGCAUUAACUCUACUUUAAGGCAUUCUCACUGUAUAAUGGUUUUAGAUGCCUGAUGUUUUGUAAUCAGAUUGGCUGGUUAUAUGGAACCACAGCAGAAGACAUUCUCACAGGUAUGAGGAUACAUGCAAAAGGUUGGAGAUCCACAUACUGCCAGCGUGACCCACCGGCAUUUCUUGGGUGCGUACCCUCAGGCGGGCCUGUUUCACUUACCCAACGGAAGAGAUGGGCUACCGGCCUCCUUGAGGUCCAGUUCAGCAAGAACAGCCCUUUCAUCGCCACCCUUACUGCCAAGCUCCAAUUCCGCCAAUGUCUUGCAUACAUGUGGAUUCUUUCUAGGGGUCGACGGUCAAUUCCUGAGCUUGGUUAUAUUGCUUUGCCAGCAUAUUGCAUCAUGGCCCGCUCACAUUUCUUGCCCAAGGUAAGGAUAUUGGAAAGUCUCUCAAAUUUUUAAUUGACAUAUAUUUCUUUUUCUAAAAAAAAUGUUGUAUAGAAUAUUUUUUAUGCUCAAGUCAUUAUAAUUGGAUUCCUUAUGGAAAUAGGGGAACUAUUAAAAAUAUCUCGAUAAAUAGCAUAAGUCAUGAUGAAAAAAAUGUUACGAGAUAAAAAUAAAUUUAUGAAGAAUAUAUGUAAUAGAUAGAAAUGUGAGGAAGAAUAGAAGGCAUUUGGUAAAGUUGGAUUAAAGCUUACAUUGACACAACAAGUGGUAUCAAAGAUUUGAUUGAAUAUUUUUGGAAGGACAACAAGAAUAGAACACAAAAAAGGAUUACAAAAGAAAUUAAUUUUUAUUGAAGGUAAAGUCAAUUGUUUCUCUCAUAAAAAUGUGAUACAAGAAGCAUGAGGAUCGUGACGCAUGACAAGAUCAUGGUGCACGAAGGCAAUUGUGACAUGCGAGAAGAGCGUGGUACACAUGGAAGCUGGGUAUAAAAUAAGGAUUUGGUUAAAACAAGCUUUGUAAAAGAGUGUAUCUUAAAUAAAUGAAAGAAUAACUUAAUAAAAUUUGAUCAAAUGUGAGGAUGGUUGGAAAACGUCUCAAAUUUCUAAUUAGUAUAUAUUUAUUUUAAAAAAAUAUUUUAUUGAAUAUUUUCUAAUUUCAUAUGUCAUUAUAAUUAUAUUCUUUAUAAAAUAAGGAAAGUCAUUGGAAAAUAUCUCUACAAAUAUUAUAAAUUAUGAGAGGAAAAAGUUAUGAAAUAAAUAUAUGUUUGUGAAGACUAUCCAGAGAUGUGAGGAAGAGUGAAUGAUACUAGAUGGAAUAAGAGGACUAAUUAUUUAAGGUAUAAAUACAAAGAAUGAGAAAAUAUAAGAUAUUUACUGAACUAAUAAUUAAUUUAUUUUUAUCAUUUAUAAUAAUUUCUAUAGUAUAGUGAAAUGUUAUUUGUCAUAUGUUAAUAUAGACAUGAUUAGUCGAAAAACCUCAUGUAUCUCUGUGUGAAUUAUUUGAUUUUUGUGUUCUUGCAUUAGCAUAUUUCCAUUGAAGCUUCCACUUGCACAACAUAGCUAGUGUUCUAAGAUAUAGGUCUUGCUUUGUUUUUGCUUUUCACCAACCUUUGUUUUAUUAUCAUUUUAUGCAUACCUAGCAUUAGUACUUCACCAACAUUUGUUUUGUUAUCAUUUUAUGGUCCUACUAGCUAGCUAUAUUAUGCACACAUAGCAUAUUAAUUCUAAUUUUGCUGAAAAUAAUUUAAAUUCUAAAUGAUUUCUACUUUAAAAUGUUCUAAGAUGCAACCAAAUAUACACUGUAUUAAUAGCUUCAAAUUGUUGGGGGGUUGUAGUCCUGGUCACCAAGCCUAAAAUCUCAAGCUCUUAGGUUAAUUAUAAAGUUUGUAAUGUAACAAAAAUAUGCCCAAUAAUGCAGGUCCAAGAGCCAGCUAUGUUUGAUACCGAUAUCUCUCUUUAUCACUUACCACUUUUACACUAUUGGAAUACUGUGGGGCUGGGCUUUCAAGCAGAGCAUGCUGGAAUAACCUGAGGAUGGGGAGAAUAACCACAGUGACUGCUAGGUUAUUUGGAUUUUUCAGUGUUAUUCUGAAGCUCCUGGGAUUGUCGAAGACCAUCUUUGAAGUUACAAAAAAAGACCAAUCUACUACUCCUGUGGAGGACAAUGACAAGGAUGCUGGUCGGUUCACCUUUGAUGAGUCUCUGAUUUUUGUUCUGGCCACUACUCUUGCGUUGUUGCAUCUGGUGGCACUGGUUGCAGCCUCGAUAGGACCAUCUCAUGUUGGGAUUGAAUCAAGAAUAGGGGAAGUAAUAUGUAGUGUGUGGCUAGUGCUAUGCUUCUUCCCAUUUUUGACAGGCCUGUUUGGGAAAGGAAAAUACGGGAUACCCACAUCCACCAUUUGCAAGUCAGCAGCUUUGGCACUGCUUUUUCUUGCUUGCAUCAUUACAAGAGAAAGAAAGAGUUUCUAGUAAGUCAAUUGAAAUGGAGGAAUCUUUACUUUGCUGAAGAGCGUAAGUAUUAAUCAAAUUUGUUGUGACAUGCAUUAUCACAAUAAUUAAAUGUAAGAGAAAUUUUACAACUAUGCACCAUUUUACUGUCUUCUCGUCUCUAUCUUGACACUCUCCGUUCCCAAAUAAGACGGUAUUUUUCCAUUUUGCCUUUCAUAGUAGCCGCAGCUGCAACUUGGGGAACUGAAAUCUUGGUGGUGAUAUUAAGUUAGGUUGACAAUUUUGUUCCAACAGAAUUUGAUUUAAUGCUACUACUUAAGAGACUAAUCAACUUCAAGAGCAAGAUUGAAAAUUCAAGGAAAUGAAGUAGAUUAAGGUGAGUUGCAAGUUCGGCUUAUAAGGGUGGCGAUUCCUUGAUUUGCAUCACUUCUUUGUUCUUCUCAAGGUUUUAUUUCUUCUCUACUUUAUCCCAGUGCAAAUUGGUACCAGAGCAUUGGUUUCAUGGCUAGUCAUUGUCAUCACAAUUAGAAUCACAAGUGUUCUUAAUGACCAUAUUAAGUUUUCUUUUCUUAAAAGUUAAGUUCUCUUUUCUUAAAUAGUUUUCAUUUAUUUUCCCAUAUGUAUAAAUUUUUUGUAAAGGUAAUUUAGAUUCAUUUUAGAAUUCAUAAUACUUAUGAAGUUUGUGUUCCAAUUGUUAUUAUUAUUAUUAUUAUUAUUAUUAUUAUUAUUAUUAUUAUUAUUAAUUAAUUAAUUAAUUAAUUAAAUUUUAAAAGUAUUUAACUAAUGGCUCAUUGAUGAGAAGAACUCUAAUGCACCUAUAAAUUGAAAAGCUGUUGGUCCCUCUCUCUACUCUUAUAUAUAUAUAUAUAUAUAUUCAAAAGUAUUUCCUUAUUUCUCACUAUGGAGUGUAUAAAGGGGGAGCAAGAGAGUGAAGAUCAAGAGUGAAAGAGUUCAAGAUGAUUACUUCAAGAACUUUAAGUUAUAUGAAAUUAGGAAUAUAAAUCAAGGUGUACUUUCUUCUUCACAUCCUAUAAGGCUUUUUUUUUUUUUUUAAUUUAAGUUUGAUAUUAAAUAUCAAGUGAAAUACUUUUUAACAUUUGGUAUUAGAGUGAGGUUAAUCAUUUGUGUGUUUAAUUUUUUAUUUGGAUAUAGAUGAAGAAACACUAUAACCUAAAGUUAUCUCUUGAUGUGAAGUAUAAUAACUAGACAUUUUGAACAAAUUAUUUUAUUUUUCAUAGCACAAAGCUAUGAUAACAUUUACACUUCUAUAACUAGAAGUUGUGAAUAAAAGAAUGUGCACAUAUCAUAGACCAAGUUAUGAAUAAAUUAACCUAAAUUACAUAACAUAAAGUUAUGAAUGAAAGAAUUUGUUAAUAUCAUGAUGGUUGGAUAUGCAAAAGCGUUGAUACCAAUUUGUUGGAGUAAUAAGGUUGAUCGAGAGAAACAUGAACAAUUACAAAAGAAGAUUAGUUAUAGUUUGCAUUAGACUCUCCAAAUAUGCAAGUAACAUUUAUAGAAUAUGUCGAUCUUCGUGCAAUGAUUCCUGGUGAAGAAAUUAGAGAAAAACAAAAAAACACACAAAUUUAAUGUGGUUUGGUGGAUUGUCUAUGUCCACGGGAAUAAGAAAGAAGACUUUCACUAUAUAUCAAAUUAGAGUUAUAUAAAAAGGGCAUCUAUACUAACCCUCAGAUAAUGAAAUUCCAAAAAUAUCCCUAUACCCCCUAACAUAUUAUUCGCCCUUAAAAAUAAAAAUACAAGUUUAAAUAGCAAAUAUUGUCAUUUCAUUCCAUUCCACUCCACUCCAGCAUUUGCCCAUUUUUCUCCAUAUAUAUAUAUAUAUUUCCCUCAAUAUGAGCCACAUACUACAACAAAAUAACUAUCUUGGGGUUGUAAGUCAUGAGUUUGAGAUUAUGAACCAUUAGAUUUUGAAGAAGCCAUGCAAAACUAAAAACGAAAUAAUAUUCAAGUAAAAUCUCUUUCAAAAGGGAAAGACAUUUGAAGUAAAAUGGAUAUACAAAAUAAAGAAGCAUACAAAAAGAGAAGUAGAGAAAUACAAAACCUCUCAAAUAUGAAGAUUUUAGAAGAUUAAAAAACAUUAUUUGAAGUUACAAAUUAAGUUUAAGGGAUUAUACAUGUUAAAAAAUAAACUUGAGAGGAGAAAAGUUUCGAAUUAAGAAAUGUAAUUUGAUUUAGUUUCUAAAAGUCAAUUGAAAUAUUUUAGUUUGAGUAAUUCAGUCAUAUUUUAUUAUUAGGAGUUUUUAUUUUGUUAAAUACAAGUAUAUAUAAAAAGGUUGUAUAAUAUUUGAACAAAGUCCCAUUGGAGGAUAUAUCAGAGGUGUUCAACAUCAGUGUUUUGGUUUGAAAUAGGUUCUCUGUUAAGUGUCAUUGUUGAAUGGUGGUUGUACUAGGAUCCAUGUGUUGAAUAGAUGUUGUAGAGUUGAUCCAUUAUUGAAUGGGAAUGUUGACUCCACUUUUGAUGAAUGUGGGGACAAUAAAGCGAUGUUCUCUCCAAAGUAUGAAUGUUAAGCUACUUAUUAGCUUAGCUUUUAAUGUUGUAUAUCAAAUCCAUUAAUAGUUUGUUUGAUAAUGCUUUUUUAAAAUAUAAAAAAAAAAUGAAAAAAAAGAAAACGAAAAUCAAACAUUUAACUAAAUUUUAAAAAUCACUUAUUAUUAUUAUUUUAUUUUUAAAGAAACAUUUUACAAAUGAUUCUCUCAUAAAAAAAAUAUUUAUAUUAAAAGUUUGUUUGAUAGUGAUUUUAAAAAUUAUUUUUAACAUCUUUAAUACUUAAUAGAUAAAAAAUUUCUAAGUGUUAAAAAAAUUAGAAACAUUUCCUAAAGUUACUAUCAAACACAUUAUAAGAGUGCAUUUAAGAAUAAUUUUAAAAAACGAUUUUAGUACUUCUAAUGAUAAAAAAUUUUAAAAAUGUUUCUUAAAAUUACUAUCAAACGGAUUCUAAAAACACUUAUAAAAAACACUAAUAUAUUUGAGUACUAUUUAAAACUCCAUUUCAUGUGCUGCUCCAUUUCUUGAGUUCAAUAAAUAGAAAACAAGGAGGUUUGAGAUAUAAACACUGAAAUAAAAAACUCUAAUACCAUAGUGUGGACCCCGCAUUUUCGGCUCAUGCGUUCCCACUCAAUGGCGAAACUCGUUUUUUGUUUUAUUUGAUGAAAUUUGAUUUUUAGAAAAAAAAAAAAAACUUGGAGUCGCCACUUAUUUUUGUUUUACUUUUAAAGGGUAAACAAAAUAUGAAAGAAAAACCCUAAGUGUGACUCUUUAUUUCGGAAAAGAUGGUCUACGAAAAACCAGAUCGGGUUCGGGGGUCAAGUUACUUAUUGGGAAGGUAUGGUAAAGACCGUAGCACCCUUCUAAGUCCCUAGAAACGGGUCCCUACUAAUAAAAUGGAGCUAAUGUGGCAAUUGAUAAGGAAAACAAUGAAUACCCGGAACUAUCAUACACAUAUGAGAAUCAAAACAUGUAUAUAGAAAGACCAGAAUGGGAAUAGAUACGUACCUGGGCGACGAGCCACAAUAAGCUUAUCAAAAAGUGAGGUUAAUGCACAAUUAAGAAAUAAUUUCGAGCAUGUCAUAGAGUAGAAUAACAUCAAUCAUGCAUGUCAAUUAAAUCAAUCAAACAAUCAAUCAAUUAUAAAUUCACUUAUGUUGGGCCCCCACCAAAACAUUUUAUUUUACAUGAAUUAAUCCCAUAAAUUUCAUUAUUCGGAAUUACGGAAAAUUCGUUCAUGCUUAUUAAAAUCAAGAGGAGCAGAAGAUUGUUGGAAGACCAGAAUGGAAUUAAAGUUAUUCGAGAUAAAAUCGGAUUUUUGAAAUUCAUUUGAAAAAUUGGAGUCUCGAAGGUUAUUUAAAGAAAAUUGGGAUUUUAGAGUUUAUUUGAAGAACGGACUUUUAGGAAUUAAAUGUGAGAAUGUGAAUUUUUAGAAAUUAAAUUUGAACGAGGUUAGAAACUUGAAAAUGAUUUGAGAGUUCAGGAUUUUAAAUGAGGGGAUAAGUGGAUGAGUGAAUAAGUAAAUGAAUGAAAUAACGAUGGUGAAAUAAUAAAGUUUAGGUAAAUAAUCACGAAAGAUGGAAUUUUAGAGAUUUGAAGAUGUGAAUUUAGAGAUUGAAAACUUAAGAAUUUAUUUAGAGAUGAGAUCUUUGGUAUAUGAAUAACUGAAUAAGUAAGUGGAUGAGAUAACAUUAAUAACGAGAAUAAUCAUUAAACAAUGAUAUAUGGACGGUGGAGUUUUUGAGAUUGGAAAUUAGAUUUGGAAGUCGGAUUCUGAUGAAUUAAACUUUAACGAUUAGAAUAAAUAGAUAAUAUGGAAUAAUAAUGCUACUUAACGGAAACAAUAUUUUAAACGAAUAGAAAAGGAGUAGUGGAAUUUUAAGAUUGAAAAUUAAGUUAGGACGUUGAAUUUUUUAAGAGUUGGACCUUAAAUGAAUAAAAAGAUAAGGGAUAAGAAUUCUAGUUAAUGAAAAUAACAUUUGGGCGAAUAAUAGAAUUUCUAAGGUUGAAAGUUAAAUUGAGAUUUUUUAAAGAUUGGACUUUAAAUAAAUAUGGGAUGAUGAUUCUAAUGGAUGAAAAUGAAAUUUAAAUGAAUUAUAGAAUUUUUGUUAGGAUUGAAAAAUUAAAUUAAAAUAUAGAAUUUUUGAAGGAUUAGACUUUAAAUAACUAGAUAAAUACGAUAUUAAAAUUCUAAUUGAUGAAAAUAAGAUUUAAAUGAAUAUUUGAAGAAUUAAAUUAAGACAUGGGACUUUUGAAAAAUUACUUAAAGACCUAAGUUUUGAAAAUGGGAUUUAAAGUUUAGAAUGUAGUAAAUUCUUUGAGUCCAAUAUAAAUUAAUUUAUAUAAAAGUUUUUCAUAUAUGGUGAUUUAGACAUAAUUUAAAGAUGGGAAUGUGAAAUAUAAAUUAUCUUGUGUUUUGAAAGGAUAUCCAACCUUAAUAAUUUGUCCUUUAAUCGUCUUCAAGUUGAGUUAAAUAAAUUGGUAUAAAUAGAAUAAGAUAACAAAUAAAAGGGAAUGAUUGAAUUAAUUAAUCAUGGAUAUUAGAGAUUUUUAAGAGAAUUAUUUAGGAUUUGGGCAACCUAAUGGGCUAAAUUGAUGUGGGCAUGGGCCAAUGAGGGUGGCUAGCAUAGGGGACAUGGGGCCCUUCAUCAACAUGCUUGGGUUGGGCUCCAACUCAAGCCCAAACUCGUCACCAAGAGCUUAGGUCUGGGCUCCAACUUAAGCCCAAGGCACCAUCACUAUAAAAGCAUGGGCCUGGGCUCCAACUUAAGCCCAAGGCACCAUCACCAUCAAAGCUUGGGCCUGGGCUCCAACUUAAGCCCAAGUUCAAGGCCAAUAUGGGCAAGCCCAAAACGUAUUUCUAUCACAAACCUGGGCUUGGGCUCAAACCUCCACCUAUGGGCAAGCCUAAAAGGCUCCAAACUCCCUCACAGCCCACCACUCCAACCGGAUCCUUCCUUCAACCCCACUCCCUGGAGACCCUCUUAUGUUGAUGGCUGCAAAAUACUAAGUCACGGAUUUCGUUGCGAAGCUGCAACAAUUCAAACUUACAUUUUAAAAAAUUUUAAUGAUAACAAUUUUAAGUAUUAAAAAUAUUAUAAGCACUUCUUAAAAUCAUUAUCAAAUGGAAUCUAAGAGUUUGUUUGACAAUGAUUAUAGAAAAUGUUUUUAAUAUCUUCAAUACUAAAAAUAUAAAAAAUUUCAAAUGUUAGAAAAAUUAGAAACACUUCCUAAAAUCAUUAUCAAAAGCUUUAUAAAAAUGCAUUUGAGAAUAAUUUUAAAGAACGUUUUUAGUACUUUUAACACUUGAACGAAAAAAAAUUUUAGGUAUUAAAAAUAUUAAAAAUAUUUCUUAAAAUUACUAUCAACCGGGCUUUAAAAACACUUAUUUAUUUGAUUGCUAUUUAAAACUCCAUUUCAUGUGCUACUUUACCUCAUGAUCAUAGAGAUGCCUUACCUCAUGCCGUGCCCAGAAUACAAAAUUCCGCUUAUGUCUUACAUUUUGUGGUAGAAAAUCGCAUUAACAUCACACCACAUCAGUCCUGUUUCCACUACUGGAACAGAAUUUUCAGGUAGCCUCUAAAUACUAAUUUUUUCAAAGAUGAGCUAGGUUCAUGUUCCAGGUCAGUUUCUGUGUUGUCAAUGGACAGAGGACGUAACGUACAAUAUUAUCUGUAGGCCAUGGCUGCUUCCUCCAAGAAAAUUAUGUUAUGUCAUAAGUCACGGAUUUCGUUGCGAAGCUACAAUAAUUCAAACUUACCUUCCUUUAAGAUCAUGCUUGUGUCUACAUUCAUUUUCCCAAAUAUUUGUAGUUGAAUUUUUUGUCAUGUAGGGGCCGCGCACUUAAGGCAGAUCUCAAGUGAGUCAAAGAAUUAACAAAUUAAGGUGACAUUUGAUAAAUUAAACUAAAAACUUAAUAUUUAAUUGUUUAAGAUGAUUUUAAUAUGACUUUUACUAAACUUGAUGAGUUGAAAAUUAUUAUUAAAUUAUUAAGUUAAAUAUUAAAAAAGUUUUUAAUUUUUCUUUUAAUUAUUGCUUAUUUUUAAAAGAUUUUUACUAAAUAAAAAAGUUAAAAUAUUUGAUUUUGUUUUACUAAAUAUUAAAAAUAAUUUUUAAAACAGUCAAAACAUAUUCCCAAUAUGACUAUCGUUGUAUUAAUACUUAAUACUUAAUAAUAAAAAAAUAAUAAAAAAAAAACAAAGAAUUUAAUACUCAAUACUAUUAAUUGUAUUUAAAUUAACUUCUUUUUAUAUAUAAGUAAAAAAUCCAAAGUAACAUUAGAAAGUAAAACCAAAACUCAAGUGAUUUUCUAAAGUUCCAAAAGUAAUUUUUAAAAAUUUACCAAAUAAUUUUACUUUGUCUGAACACAUUUAUAAUGCAGUAGAACAGUUCUGUUGGCCAUUGAGAAAAAGAAGGGAAAAACUAUGGUAGGGUAGCCAUCAAUGGAGUGGCCGAUAUGAAGGAGGUGAUAAAUCAAUCCAAGCGUCCAUUAACACCUCCACAAACCGCAUACACCAUCUGCCCAACAAGGCAACUUUAAGCUAUCCUCCCCCAUUAGAUGGCCAAACCAAUUCCUUCACCUCUCUAUGAAAAAAUCCCCCAGAAAAACACACUCCAUAGAGCCUCGGACGUCACCAUUUUCUUCCUUCUCCUCUCCCUCCUUGCUUACCGUCUCCUCUCCCUAAAAAACAAUGGCUUCACUUGGCUCCUCGCCUUCCUCUGCGAGUCAUGGUUCACCUUUAUUUGGAUUCUUAACUUGAGCUCCAAAUGGAAUCCUGUGUCCUACAAAACAUACCCUGAGCGCCUUCUACAAUGUUAUCGGUAUCCAAUAAUUCUCUUAGUAAAACUCUUCAUGUGCUUUGGUGUUUUUUUCUGCCUCCAAAUUUUAUAUAUAGUCAUACUUAUGAUUUUCUGAACAGAGUUGAUGAGCUUCCUCCAGUGGACAUGUUUGUGACAACUGCAGAUCCCAUGCUGGAACCCCCGAUCAUCACUGUAAAUACUGUUCUCUCCUUGCUGGCAGUUGACUAUCCGGCUAACAAGCUUUCUUGCUAUGUGUCCGAUGAUGGGGCUUCCCCUCUCACCUUCUUCGCUCUCCUUGAAGCAUCCAAGUUUGCUAAGCUUUGGGUUCCUUUCUGUAAGAAGUAUGGUAUUCAACCUAGAGCUCCCUUUAGAUACUUUUCCAGAGAGUUGUUACCAUCCCAUGAUAAUUCAAUGGAGUUCCUGCAAGAAUACAGAAAGAUAAAGGUACGCGCACUAUUCCUAGUAGGAAGUAGGAACCAUAAGUGGAGAUUAAUUAUAUUAGUUCAACUUAGUGCAAUUAUUUAUUUAUUUAAUAACAGUUAUUAGAAUGCAGAUGAUCCUGAAUUUAGAAUUUUCUUUUCCUUUAAUUUAUUGACUAUCUUUCUUUUUUUAUUCUUUUUAUACAUAAAAUCUCCUUAAAAAAAUAAAAUAAAAUUCCACUAGCAAGUAAGUUACGUGUCCAAGUAUAUCUUCUCUACAUCAUGUUACAAUGAUGCUUUGAGAAUAGCUUUUGUAGAUAUCUGCCUUACAUUUAAGCAAUUUUCUUUUUCUUCAUCCCCUUGUAGGAAGAAUAUGAAGAACUUAGACGAAGAAUUGAAGACGCAACCGUGAAGUCAAUAUCAUAUGAGCUUAGUACUGCAGAUUUUGUCGCUUUCUCAAAUAUAAAAAAAGGAAGCCAUCCAACUAUAAUCAAGGUAUGUUUAAAGAUAUAACUAGCUGAUUUGUUUACUUAUGAUUACCAUUAUUAGGUCUAUUUGGAUUGAUUUCUCAUAAGCUAAAAAGCAAAAUUUUUAAGUUCAAUAAAAAAUUCUAUAUAUAUUUGAUUAAUUUUAUGCUUAUGGCUCAAGAAAGUGCUCAAUAUAAAAGUCUUGAAAAUGUCAUAUUCUAUGUUUAAUAAAAACUUUACGAUAUCAAUAUUACUUUAAAAAAAUUAUGAUCUUAGCUUUAACUUUAUGUUGCAGAUAAAGAUAAAAACAAACAACCUCAAAUAGGUUCUCAAUUGUUACAUAAUAAGGGCCCACUAAAGCUAAUUAUAUGAGAUUAAAAUGAUAGUAUAAAGCUAUUUGUUUUUGUCUUUUUCUAUUUUAUAAAUUUUUUUUUUUUAAAAGUAACCUUUUUUAAUUAAUAAAAAAUUGUCAUGUGAGAAAAAGUCUCAUUUCUCAGUACAUUGAUUUAUACUCCAUUUCUUUGUACUUGUUGUAUGGUUAGAUUAAAAGUUCAAUAUGAUACUAAAUUUAAUAAGCUUGCCAUGAUCUCUAGUUAUACACAAAAUUAAAUAACAUUAAUUUUUUGCAAAAGCAUAAGCAUUUAAAUAUUUUGCCCGUGGAUUAGUAUUUUUUUUUAAAAAAAAAAAAGUAACCAAUUUAAGCUAUAACCAUUUGGUUACAACACGAGAGGGCUAGGGAGUGGUGGUAGAGGAAGUAUUUGACAACAUUUCUAUAACCAUGAAUGGUGACUUUGUAGGUUAUAUUGGAGAACAAGGAGAGCCGCUCUGAUGGGUUGCCACAUCUAGUCUAUGUAUCCAGAGAGAAGCAUCCCAAGCAUCCACACCAUUACAAAGCGGGUGCCAUGAAUGUUCUGGUAAGGAAGCCCCUUGAAUUGGUAUAAUUACUGAUAUUCCUUCUUUUCCCCUGAUUAUUUCAUGAUAAACAGACCAGAGUCUCUGGUGCUAUGACAAAUGCUCCUUUCAUGCUGAACGUAGACUGUGAUAUGUACGCCAACAAUCCACAGAUUUUUCAUCAUUCAAUGUGUUUGCUCCUCGGUUCCAAGAAUGAACAGGACUGCGGGUUUGUUCAGACUCCACAAUCCUUCUAUGAUGGACUAAAGGACGACCCAUUUGGAAAUCAGUUUGGAGUUUUGUAUAAGGUAUGCCAAAUUUCUAUAGUGAAGAGUGAUCUCUUCCAUACUAUAGAGCACACGUACUAGAAGCCUCUUUUAUUUUUUCAUUAAUUGAUAUCUUUGCUGAAUCAGUAUGUAGUAAGUGGAAUAGCAGGGCUUCAAGGACCUAAUUAUUCUGGAACGGGAUGUUUUCAUCGAAGAAAAGUUAUCUAUGGGUUAUGGCCAGAUGGAAGGAUGGAGUUCAAAGGAAGAAUUGGUAUGCAAUCAAUUUAUUUGUCUUAUGUAUCAUUUUAAUUUCCUUACAGGGAUCUUAAAAUGUUAUAUGAAACUAAGCAUUGCAGUUUUCCCUACUUUUUGGUGGGAAAAUUAACAGAUGAGAGAUUAGAAAAAACAUUCGGAAAUUCAAAGGAAUUCACAAAAACAGCUGCAAGGAUUUUAUCAGGGUUGAGUGGGAUUUCGGAUUGUCCAUAUGAUCUUUCGAAUCGGGUUGAGGCAGCACACCAAAUUGCAAGUUGCAGCUAUGAGUAUGGAACUAACUGGGGUACAAAGGUGAGCUGUCAAUAGUUAGAACAACAAGAAUAGUACCAUGUUUUUUGAAAAGAAACUCAACUAGAAGUUACAUGCAUUAUGUGACUAUCCAUGUUCAGAUUGGUUGGUUAUAUGGAACUACAACAGAAGACAUCCUCACAGGUAUGAGGAUACAUGCAAGAGGUUGGAAAUCCACAGAUUGCCGGCCUGACCCUCCUGCAUUUCUUGGGUGCGCACCCUCAGGCGGGCCUGCUGCACUUAUCCAACAGAAGAGAUGGGCCACUGGCCUCCUUGAGGUCCUGUUCAGCAAGAACAGCCCAUUCAUUGUCACCUUCACUGCAAAGCUCCAAUUUCGCCAAUGCCUUGCAUACAUGUGGAUUAUUUCAUGGGGUUUAAGGCCAAUUCCCGAGCUUUGUUAUCUUGCUUUGCCAGCAUAUUGCAUCAUGGCCGGCUCACAUUUCUUGCCCAAUGUGAGCAAAACUAAAACCAUUCAGUUUUCCUCUUAAAUUCAUACAUAGCAUUAGUAGUAGUACUUCACCAACCUUUGUUUUAUUACCAUUGACGCAGGUCCAAGACCCAGCUGUGUUGAUACCAAUAUCCCUCUUUGUCAGUUACAAUUUUCACACUCUAUUAGAAUACUGGGGGGCUGGAUAUUCAAUCCGAGCAUGCUGGAACAAUUUGAGGAUGUGGAGAAUAACCGCAGUGACCUCAUGGUUAUUUGGAUUUUUAAGCGUCAUUCUGAAGCUCCUGGGGUUAUCGGAGACCGUCUUCGAAGUUACAAAAAAAGACCAAUCUACUACUCCUGGGGAGGGCAGUGACAAGGAUUCUGGUCGGUUCACCUUUGAUGGGUCUCUGAUUUUUGUUCCGGCCACUACUCUUUUGUUGGUGCACCUGAUGGCACUUGUUACAGCCUUGUUAGGACUAUUUGAUCUUGUCGGGAUUGAAUCAAGAAUAGGGGAGAUAAUAUGUAGUGUGUGGGUGGUGCUAUGCUUCUCGCCGUUUCUUAAAGGCUUGUUUGGGAAAGGAAAAUAUGGGAUACCCAAAUCCACUAUAUGCAAGUCAGCAGCUUUGGCGUUUCUUUUUCUUGCUUGCACUAUUACAGUAAGAAAAUGACAUUAGUAAAAACUAAAAACCGUAACAAUUUAUUAAGCAUAAUUGUUAGUCAAGUGUGUUAUGACAUGUAUUAUCCGGUUCAAUGUACGAACAAAUUAAUUUAUGCAAUUAUAAUGGCAGUUUGCUUUUAACCAUUGCCGUAGCGGCAGUACCUCCAUGAAUUGAAAUGAAGUAAUGAUCACAACCGUGAGUUUGAAGUAAUGAUUAGUGAAAAAAAGACGAGGAAAAAAAAAAGAAAAAAAAAUUACCUUUUAUCAUAUAUUCUCUUCAUUCUCCACUCAUUAAUAUAUAUGAAUAUGGAAGAUCAUGGGUUCCCUACAUCCCAAAAAAAAAGAGAUUAAUUUCAAGAAUAUAUUGAUUAAACCGAGGAAAAUAAAACACAUAAAAUAGAAAAUUAAGUGAUUUAAAUUCAAAAGAUCAAGUCAAAAUAGAAAAAAAUCUUAGAAAAGUAAAGUUGCAUGUUGAAAAUUAGGUUAUCAUUCUUGAUUAAUUUGCUUAGUUUUUGGAGGUAUGCUACUAGGACUCUUUCCUUUCUUCGUCUUAAUAUGAGACCUAUUACCUUUCUUAAUAUCCAAAAUUUGGUUUUAAGGUAAUUUGACAUACUCAUUAGAUUAUUAACAUGCGACUAAAUUUUUCAAAGAGCCUACUACUACAACACUUACUAGCAUUAUGUCUUAACCUCUUACAUGUAGUGCACUUAGGGUCUUGCUUAGAGUUAGAUUUCCCAUAAGAGGAACAAACUUCCUAUGUUUUUAUAAAAGUAGUCUUUUCACUUGUGGGAGUUUCACAUAUAAUUAUAUAUCCUAAACUUCUCUUGCCUCUAAACAUUCCCAUUUUGAAUCAUUUCAUUAAAAUUUUAGGGUGAAGAUGAAAAUUUUAUCAUGUCGACUUUCAAAGAUCUUUUUCCUAUGGUCUAACUUUGAGGUUAAGGAUUUAUUCUUUUCAAGUACAAUGUGAUAUUCAAAAUCAAGGAACCUAAUUUUUCCUUAGCAAAUUGUAAUGUUCACAAGUUGUGUCCCUAAUCUUAUUACCCAAAUUAGUUUUUUUAAGUCUCAUAGGAACUUAAUUUUUCAUUCAAUUCAUUUUUCUCAUAUUCAAGAUAUUUAAUGUGAGAAAUCUUUUUGUUUAAAAUAAUUUUAAGCUUAACUAUAACACCUUAUACCCUGAGGCCAAGGGCCCUACGGUCAUUCCAUAUCAAAUUGAAACCAAAACUAAAAUAAAAUAUCUAGCCACAAAUUCAAUAAUUUUCUCAAACACUUAAAUCAAAAUUCUAAAAAUUAAUAAUGAAUUCAAUCUUAAGUAAACAAUCCCAUAAAAAAAUUAAAAAAGAAAAAAAAUCAAUUCUAAAGUAGUUUAUAAUAGAAGCAUCUUUCCUAUCUUGAUUUUUCUUCAUUGAUGUCACUUAUACUUGAAAAUGGGAAUUAUAGAAAAGGGUGAACUUGAUAGCUCAGUAUAAAAAAUAAUUUAAUAAGAAUGAUUAAUAUAGUAUAAAAUUAAACACUGAGAGAUAUCAUUUUUUUUUUACGAAAAUCAAUUAGUGAGUAAUCUCUUUUAAUUCAAUAGUUUAGUUCACUUUCUUUGAAAAAUUUAACACUUUCUAUUGAAAGAUUAAACAACAUAAUGCACUUUGCAUAAUAAUUCAUAUAAAAAAGAAUUUUACAAACAAAGAUUUUACUCUAAUCCACUCACAAUAACACCAUGCCCAAAUAGUUGAAUUUGUAUUAGGUGGCUAGCCUCAAAAUGUUAUUAGUGAAUGGAACGGAUUCCAAUCCAUAGUAUACCAAAGGCCAAUAACACCCCUAUUAGCUAGGGUUGUGUUGUAUUAUUACCCUCACUAAGGGUAAUAAAGGUCAACAACUUAUCCCUAUUGACUAGAGCCACUUAGUGUUUCUAAAAUCAUUUUAAUUAAUUAGAAAAAAAGGUAAAAUUCACUUACAUAAUAAUCAAACAGAUCACAUGAUGUUACUAAUUUAUUUUAUGAACAAAACACAACAUAUUUCAAUAAAAUAUUACCUAAUCCACUUUACGAAAUUUAAACAAUUUUGAUACUUUACUAAAUAGAGGAAGACAAAUAAAAAGGUAGAAAAUAACUCACUACACUAUUAACCCUUACCUUGAAGAACCCACUUAAAUUCUUGAAAGAAUUAAUCCACACCUUUAAAUUAUAGAACGAAGCAAUAUGAAGCAAAUACUAAAACUUCUUCUUUCUAACUCUUCGAAUCAAAGUUCUCCGGAGACUUUUUUUUUCUUCUUUAUUUUGUGUUUUCAAUUUUUUGAUAAUAUGAAUAAUUCAUAACAAAAUAAAGUUGGUGGGCAAUUAAAGGGAGCAAAAAUAUCUCACUUAAUUUGUUUUUCAAUUUUUUAAAAUAUAUAAAUAUCCCUAAAUUCUCCUUCCUAAUCACUAGAUUCAAUAGAACUAAUUUUAGUACCUGAGGAUAGUGAAACAGUGAAGGCAAUAAGGUUAUUGUUAAGAAUAUUAGGCUAAUCCAACCUAUGGUAAUCACCCUAGAGGAAGGGUGAAAAGGGUGAUAGUCUCUUUUUGCAAAUUAAAACUAUGUAAAUGUAAGAGACAAUUAUAUGCAAGUAUAUAAUAAGCAAUAUAUAGACAAUUGCAUAUAAAUUAAAGAGUAGGGAAAAGAAAAUGCAAACACAAGAGUUUAUAGUGGUUCGGCGCAACCCGACCUACAUCCACUCUUCUCUAGCUUCAAUCCGAGCGUGAGGUUCCACUAAUUCAAGGCUUCCAAACCAAGCCUUCAAGUAAUACAAUUGAAUUAUGGUUCCAAUUCACCAUCUUGGACUUUUGGCUCCAAGCACCCUUUACACUUCUCAAGAGAUAUCCCACUCUUGAACAACUUCCUCUCAAUGAUUUACAAAUAAAAGAUCUCACAAAAAUCCUAACACAAGAACUUUAAGCUCAAUUGAUACAAGAAAACUAGGAUUGAAAGGUGCACUAAGGAUAUGCAAGUUUCAGAACAAUGGUGCACUCAAAAACACUCUUCUAAGGCUCAAAUAUAAUCAAGAAAGAUUUGGGAAGGUUAAGUUUUUUAAACAAUGAAGAUUGGAGCCUUUUUAUAGAAGAGAAAAGUCAAACUAGCCGUUUGGGGGUUCGACCAGUCGAGUUAGGGGUCGACCGGUUGACUAGCCGUUAACAUUUAAUGCUUGGCAGGUGACCGUUGGACCUCGACCGGACCUCAACCGGACCUCGACCGGACUUCAACCAGUUGAGGUUCAACCUUGACCGGUUGAACAACCGUUCUGGAAGAAAGAGAAAGUUUUUUGCACCCUCGACCGGUUGAACUAGGGGUCUACCCGGGCCUCGACCGGCUGAGCUGUGGGUUGACCCGGACCUCGACCGAUUGAGCUGGGGGUCGACCCAGACCUCGAUCGGUUGAGCUUGCGGUCGACCGGUUCCUCACCCGGUUCAACCGAUUGAGUCGUUUUUUGGCUCAACAACCACCUUUUUCAACUUAAAACCUUUUAAAAUAAGUUUGAAAGACAUUUAACACAAAGUUUUAGUUGAAAACAUGAAAUCAUCCAAUUCUUAAAAUAUUUAAAACAAAAUAACUCUUGAAUGAUUUUGGUGCAUAAGUAAAGAAUGUAAUGCAUGAAAAUCCUAGUGCACUAACAACCUUACAAAGAGAUCUUAUGAAGUUUGGAUCUUGAAAAACUUUUUUUUUUGAGGUGGUCUUCUUCUUCAUGAUUUCUCCUUGGCUUGAUUUGUCUUUGUGAUUGCCACUUUGGAAAUCGUCUUGCUUAAUCACACUUGAAAUAUAGUCAUUAGUUCUAAAGCUUAUUUUGUUAUCAUCAAAAUCAAGAUUAAUCAAACCUUGGUUUCACAGUUAUCAUUGUCUUUUUUUGUUGAUCUUCGUGUAAUAAUUCCUAGUAAAGAAAUUAAAGAAAAACAAAAGAAAACACGCACAGAUUUAAUGUGGUUAGGUAGAUUGCCUACGUCCAUGGGAACAAGGAAAAAGACUUUCACUAUAUUUCAAUUAAUGUUACAUAAAAGGGUAUUUAUACUAACCCUCAAGUAUUGAAAUUCCAAAAAUACCCUUGAACAGUACCACGGGGAGGCGUUGUCCCCCGUACCCCCCCAACCUAUCGUUUACCCUUAACAAUAAAAAUGCAAAAUUAAAUGGCAAAUGUCAUCGUUCUACUUCGACAUUUGCCCAUUUUUCUCCAUAUGUCUUUUACUCAAUAUGAGCCACAUAUAAUUCAAUUAAUACCUACACUCAUUUUUUUUUGUCCCUGAUGCAACAAUCCCUCAUUCUCCUUAAUGGAUCCCUUGAAACCCUUAUCAAAAUUUGCACUAUGUGUCUGUCAAACCUUUGUUGUUGAUGAAAGGUUCUUGUAAGAAAGAUUUGAAAGGUUUCAAAGAUGGAUGUACAAGCUUUAAAAAUAAUGAUAUUUUUUUAAGGUUUAAGGGUCCACCAAUUUUUAAUAAAACAAAUCUAUGUAUACUUGCAAAACCCUAAUAAUUAAUUAUGGGGAGUUUCUGAAUUUUAAACCACUUUAAAAAUGACUUUCUAGAGUCAGAAAUGAAGGGAGAGACAAAAAAUCAUCAACAAGAUGUUUGAAUGCUUGUGGGGGGAAAGGGGAAAGAAAGCUUAAAUGCCCUUGAGAAGCAUUUGAACACCCCUCAAUACAUUUGAAUGCUCACCUUUAAUUAUCUCUUUAUUUUUGCAAUAUUUCGAGCUUUUCUCCAUAUGUUUCAUCCCAAUUUCAUAUUUUAUCCAUUCCAUAAGUUUUAUCAACUUUAGAUGCAUACAUAUCUCAAAAAACAUUGACAUUGAAAAGAUUCAACGUUAGCCUUGAAGAAGUCUGAAGUUAAAUAGAAGUUGACAAGACCUAAGGAAGUAUGUCACGUCUAAUCAAUAAGAAAUAUAACAAAAUUGUCAACUAAAUCUAAUACAUCAACAAAUUCAUAUGAGAAGAAAUCAGUUCCCUCUUGUAAUACAAGCUUUGGUGUGUAGUUAAUCCUAUAUGAAUUUUUUAUAUUGUCUUUGAGGAAAGAAAAGUGGCUUUAAAAAUCACCUGUGGGGAUUAAGAUCAAGUGGUAUAUAUGUAUGUACGUAUGUAUGGAGAGAUAGAGAAAUCAACCUCCUUGUGCAAUUGCAUUUUCCAUAGUUAUUGUUGCAUACCAAAUGUUGUUUCAUAUGGUUCAUCUUUGAGACCAUACAAUCACUACCUACCCAAUUUGAAAUGAAACUCUAUUUUGGUAAUGCUUUAUCUAAGAAUGAAAAUAGUUGACAAGGAGUAGAGCAUGUAAAAACAUUUUCCUAUUUGAUUUAGGUUAAGGGUUAUCAAACACAUCCACCAUUCAUGUCUUCACACCUAGCUACUUUAUUGAGAAAAUUAAAAAAGAAAGAGUAGGUCCAAGAGAAAAAAUAAGUGUAUUUAACAUCAUCCUAGGUUAUUAAUAUAUAGUUAAUAAAAAAAAUUCGAAUUACCUUUAGAGAUGCCUAAGAAUCCCAAUUUGAUUGUUUCACAGACAAGUUUUCUACCCCAAGUCAUGCAUGGAACUAUAAAUGCAAGAACAACUCAAGAUUUUUAUAACACAAGAGCCUUGACCUUUGUUCUCAAGAAGAAAACUAAAAAACUUCAAGAGAGGACAUUUUUGGGAGAAACCUCUAUUAUGUUGUUAAUAAUAAUAAUAAUAAUAAUAAUAAAAAGAUACUUUCUUAAUCCAUUUUUCUCAUUAUUAUUAUUCUUUUCCAUAACUUUCGAUAGUUAAAAACUCCCAGAAAAUGCUUCGUCUACUUUUAAAAAUAUUAGAUGAGGUCGGGUUGAGCUAUAUAUAUAUAUAUAUAUAUAUAUAUAUAUAUAUAUAUAUAUAUAUAGACACACACGUAUGUAUGUAUGUAUGUAUGUAUGUAUGUAUGUAUUAUCCAAACUCAUGGAAUGACCAAUGUCUGACAUACAUUUGAUUAGGUUGUUCCUUUCUCCAAAUAGGCAUUAAUAAAUCAAUUUAUGAUUAUGCAUCAAUAUUAGUCUAAAUACCAUGUGCCAUUGAGCCUGUUAGAGAAUUAAAUUCAAGAAAUUUAGAACCAAAAGCAUUGUUUGUCAAAGAUGGAUGGUGGAUGAUGGCCCGGAAUAUUUUCCUUUUGAUCUAUGAAUGAAUGGAC